ACAAGUGAAGCUGAAGCUUGGGAAGCAGCAAAGAAGGAUUGCGGAGGCUUGCACUUCCUUGCAAUCCAGGGGGACUUGGACGGGGAUGAUUGUGUCGGAUUUUGGCUUCUACUAGACUUGCCACCUCCACCUGUAUAGUUCAAUCGGUCGAAAAGGUUUUCGAAAGAAAUAACUCUUACACAUUAGUUUCUCAGUUAUAUUACUUCAUAUUUGAGAAGUGAUUGCAAAAACUGCUUCGGAACGGAGUUUCUUAUCGAGGGUUUUUAACUUUUAACGAGUUUUAUGAAUGGCCGAAAGGGGAAAUUAAUCUCGCUAUCCGGCAAAGUUGGUUGCAGGGUUCAAGGUCUCUCAUGCAAACUAGGGCUCGGGAUGCCCGAGUUCUAGUACCGGGUCUGUCAUCCUGGGUUCGGGAUUACAGACCCAAAGUCAUCCACUUGGACAUUUACAACUUGUAUGGCCUCUCCUCCGAAAGAGCUAUACCAUCAUCACCACCACUCUUCCAGGUUCCACCAAAAUCGACUCCCACUCAGGCGUAGCCAGCAAUGAGGCACCACAAUCUGCACGAACAGUGACUCAAAGGACGGGAUGCUUUCUAAUUGACGGACAAAUUUCAGCCAACAAACUAACGCCGGAAGCAUUCAUUUCACCACUGUAUUCAAUUCCAUCAACCUUCAAAGAUGGUAAACGCAUCCGGCCCGAUACGAAAACAACUUUCAUUCCUAUCCUGUCUGUUACAGCGAAUUCUGAAAUAUCAAAGUUCAAGUCGGAGUAUCCAAAUACAUUUCGAGAAAGGUAGCUUAGCUGUCUAUAGAACCAAAAAAAAAAAAAGAACAAAAGAAAACCUGCUUUCCUCGGAAUUUACCCUACCUGACCAGAACUAAUUCUUCAAGGGCAACGAAACUAAACAGCCCUGCACAUACAAGCCACCGGAUAUACUACAACAUGUUAUCUCUUCCGCCCUUUUAGAGGCAAACGAUUUCCAUUCCAUCUUAAUGUGGAAGGAAGUCUCCAGAUGAGAUUGAUCAUCACCACCGACAAGUUGUACGUCCUCAUGUUCUUGACCCUUUCUGCUUUUGAGAUACAAAUCGAACCCCUUGCUUCCCCAGUUCCAGAGAUUUGACUUUGCCGUCAUCUAGAGUAACAGAUAACGUUGACGUGCCUUCGAUAACUUCGCUAACCACUCCCUUAUGCCUGUACAAAAAGAGGGGAAAAGGAAAGAAAUCAGCACAAAUGAACACACCAAAAGUUCCCUUAAAGUAACACUUGAUACUGACAACCACGUCUUCAUGGAAAAUAAUCAUUUAACAGAAAACAUGAACAACAACCCCUUCAUGGCUAAAUUGUUGGCAUUACAAUUUUACAACUCAAGACAUCCUUUUAUAUGUUAGUAUGGACUGUAAUAUUUUGUUUUAUCUAAUAGGGUCCUAUGAGACUCAGUAAUACACUAUACAGAAACAACAAACUCACCAUGAAUUGUCAGAUAGCUGCUGAACUUCAACUCGCUUUCCGAUUGCAUCUCUGCCCAAUUUUUUCAAUAUCCAAUUAACAUCAAUCUCAUCCAUUACAUUAUGAACUGAUUGUGGCUUGGAAUCAUUCUCACUAAAUGAUGUCUUCUCCCCAAACGACGAUGGUCUCUUUCUUUUUGACCGUUGGCCCUUGACGCAACUUUUUUCUUCCUCAAGAUAAGAACUCUGAUUUUCAGUAUUAGGUUUCUUGAGCUUAAACUUCAGCGAAGUUGGUUUGGUAUCUUUUGACGAAGAAUGUGACACGGAUGUUUGAGCAUAUGCAUCAUUGGUUUCAGUACGUAUGUUAGACCUGCUAUGUGAAUGCUUCCGAGAAUACACCCUGUCAUUUCUUAAAGUCGGGACUUCACCUACAGGCACAGCUGCAGUCAUGCCUCCUUCAAUGCCUUUUCCAAAAGAAACAGGUGUCUGCUCAGGUUGAAUGGCUUCAUAUCCAUCAGCCUUAUCCCCUCUUUCAAAUUUGGGGUUCUGAUCUGAAGCUCCUGACCUAACUUUUCCCAACUUUAUAAAAUUUCCUUCUCUCCCAGAAACCUUUGGAACUUUCAGUGGGCCAGAAUAAUCGCUUUUAUCUGCAAAUUAUAGAACAUAACAAAGAUUUCAAUGACACAACAUAAGAAAACAUGAAGUUUUGACCGAAUUAAUAAAGUGAAAAAAGAUCAAACUUUUCCACGAUUCUAAUGGUUUGCAAUCCUUGUACCUUUAGCAUUAGCAGAACCAUCAUGUCUAUCCACCAUAACAGUUGCUCUCUGCUGGCUGGCAUCUUCACCGCCUGCCCAUGAAUAGAAACACGAGUCAUAUAUCUACAUAUACAUACAAUAUAAACACACACACACAAUAUAUACAUACAUACAUACAUACAUAUAUAUAUAUAUAUAGAGAGAGAGAGAGAGAGAGAAAGAGAGAGCAUUAUCUUAGAUCUUCCCUCUUACUGGUAACUAGAUAUAUAAGUAACUACACAUAGAACAAUGUAAAAGUAACAGAAUACCACAUCAUCACUACCGAUUUGUUUAUCAACUCAUUUGAUUCUUCUUCAUUAUUCAGGAAGUUUUUACUUCCCUAUUUCUAUUUAUUAAUUAAAGUUACCUGGCUACAUCCACCAUAAAGCAGCUACUUCUAUUAUUGGUUUUUGGCCCUCAAAACUAGAAACGAUGGUUCUGGCCCUUCAAGCGAUAUUUUAAAGAAUAUUGCAGUUCGGAAGAGAAUACUGUUUGUUGGGACCUUUUAAAAGCUAAAACACUUCAGAAAAGAAAAACCCUGUAUGUCUGACAUACAUUUUUGUCAAUGUCAGCAUAAAUGUAGGCAGAUUUUCAGGUGUACAAGAAGGAAACCAAGGUUUACACCCCAAUGUCCACCAUUUCAGCAACACAUUGCCAGGAUAUUAACAAGGCAGAUGGAUCUACCUUCCACUCCUACAUCAUUAUUUGUGGCUUAAACCCCCAAAUUGACAACCCACACGACCUUUCUGGACACUGAAUGAGAGAUUGUAAAGAGGGCAGCAAUGGGCAGAUUUGAUGAAUGCUGGUUUUAGGUGGUUGUAAGAACAUUCAUUGGUAUUCCUCUCGAACUCAAGCUAGAGUUGAGCAAAAAGCAGUAAUCUGUUAUUACCUAAUGUUCAAUGAUGGUACCAUAAUGUAAGCUUCGAAUCACGUAUCACAAUAAUGUGAUGCUGUGUAUAUCGAAAAAAGUUUGAGUUAUAUGUAAACUUACAAUUUCAAAGAACUUUAUCUAAACAUGUAUAAGUGAGAUACUCAUCCUCUUCAAUAAACUAGACUGAUUUUUAACUUAUUUUCUAAUGACAAUGCUAAAAGCAAGAAAUAGAAUAAGCCAAGUACCACGUCAUAUAAAAGACAUACCAAUGCCAGUCACCAAAUCUUGUUCUCUUUGACACGUUGAAGCAUCAGAUGUUGGAGACUUGGUCAAAUUUAUCUUCCGUGCACCAAAAUUUAUCACUAACUUCUUCCCUUUAAUAGGUUUUGACUUGCCAGCAUGCUUUCCAGUAUCCUCUCCACUAUCCAGAGCAUGAGACUUACUCUUGAUACGAACGGCUUUGGAUAUUCUAUCUUCAUCACUUGCCAUCACCUCAUCAACAAACUUGUGCUUCAAAACACCUGGCUCAUUGACAGAGCAAAUCUCUUCGGUGUGGCUAAUACUUCCAGCUAUUGGAGAAGAAUAUAAGUCAAGUUCUGCAUUUUUGUAUGGUCGCACCUCAUCAUUCUUGUCAUAGCCCAAGCUAGAUCCGAAAGACUGAGGAUCAUCGUGUCCUCCAAACCUCUGAAUCACUUCAGUUUUACCAACGAAGAACUCCUGAUAUUCCUUUUUCUUAGCAGACACUUUAUUUGAAGAUUUUUUUCCACUGUCCUUGGUCUUUUUUGGUGACUUAUCAACUAACCCUUUGAGAGAUAAUUUCAACGGACGCCCAUACUCAUUCUUUAAUAAUUGAGGGCCAUUUUCUUCAUCAUCGGAAUAGGGUGAAAUAGAAAAUAUUUCUUCUUGAGUUGGCAAUCCUGCAGCAGCCCUCAAGCUAAAAAUUAAAUCUUGCUCAGCUUUGUCUUUUCUCCUCCAAAGCUCUACCACAGCAUCCUCAUUAUUCUUGACCUGUAAAAGAAAUUCAAAGUAAGAAGUAAAUCAAAGUUGAAAAUUAAGAUAAACAAAAUGCAAGUAAAAGGGAGGGGAAAGCACAGAUUACUAUCUUAUUUGAGCAAACCUUGUAGCAUUCACCACGGCAUGUAGCACAUUUGUACUGGAGAUUUCCAUCUAAUUGAUACAGCUGAUAUCUCUCGUCACUGAAAAAGUAAAGAAUCCCUUUAAUGGAAAUAAGCAAUCCCAUAUGGAAAUGAAAAUAACAAUUCACCAAUUAUAAAGUAAAAGAUUCAGUUGCAUCAUUUAGAAUAUAUCAAUAAAAGGGAGGUAGAUUUACGACGAAGAAUUCACUAUAUAUGGAGAGAGGCUCAUUGAACUGCUAGACAAACAGCCCAGACCAUAAGGGCUAACUAAACACAUUUGAGAGAGUAAAACCCCGGUGGUGGAAAUAGAAGUGUUUCCUCUAGAUGUGUUCCAUUAGUCUUUGCUAAAUUACUAGGUCUAUUGGGGAGACGUUUUAUCACAAAACAUUGGUGCCCAAAGUUCCAUGGUACAAAGCUACUCCCUUUGGGACCAAGAAAAAGUAAAGGCAGGCCGCAGGAUAAUACAGCAAAAUUAUAAUGGGUCUAUAAAAGUAUGAACCUGAUUCCAUCACAAUGGCAGUGCACCCAGCGCUGGCAAAUAUCACAGCAAACCAUUGGUGUUGAUUCCGAAUCUCUAUAAACCUACAAAAUAGGAUCACAAACCCAUCUUUAUUUGUGUGCAAAUAUCGCAACUAGAUAGUAUGAAUAUCGGGAUUAUAUAAGGCAGGCAUCAUCAUAUAUAACAAAAAUCAAGCAAUAGAUUAAUACCUUCAAGCACACAGGACAAUAGUUCCCCUUCACAAAUAAUCUUCCACAUGCAUCACAGCAAGUGUAUCCCAGAAACCAUCUGUCAAUGUAACAAGAAAGGAGUGAGUCCACCAGUACAUGCUAAAGUAAAAGUACAAAGUAAAAAAGGGUUUAAACUCCGUACAGAAGUAUAAAAGGGUUUAAAGAGAUCUAUAAUAGGGUGCUGGUAAUCCAAAUUAUCAGAAGGACAACCUCAAAUUCUAACAUGGUGCCUAACAAAAUUUUUAUGAUACUACAAUGUUUCAAAUUGCACAAAUAAAAUAACAAUCAUCUGAUCACCUCCGUUGAAAGAAGAAAAUAAACCCACAGUUUACAAUAUUCAUAAUAAAUACCUCACACUUAAACCAUUUCCCGGGACUUUAGACCCACAGCUGUGACACUGUGUAUGUUUCGGGCACACAUAAGGUCCAGGAGAAACAUUCUGCAACAUGAAUAAACAAAAGUAAGCAUAUUUUCCACAUUUUGUAGCCCAGUAUACAACUCAGGACUAAUCAGUACACACCCUACCUUGUGUGAAGGAUGUUGGCAGUAACAAUGGUAAGCACCAUCACACCUUUUGCAGAACAUAAGUUUGUUUGGAUCUCCUGUUCUUCGGCAUACCUGAAGAAAGAAACAAAAUGAUACAGUCAACUGCACUUAGUAUGAACAACUUUCCACCAUUAAUGACCACAUUACAUUACAUCAUACAGCCAAAAACCCUAUAGACAAUUCCUAGUCCUUAUAAAAGUUAUAUGGUGUCAAUAAUAAGUGCAAGUAUCCUUUUGCAAGCUAAUUUUAUGUCUUUUUACCAUGAGCUAUUAUACAGCCUGUAGCUGCAAAAUAUUCUUAUUUUUCUCUUUAUUCGCAUCAAGUUUCCUGUACAGAUCUUACAAUUCAAUUUGCUCCUUCUCUAGACAAAUAUAAUACAUGCAAGUUCUAUAUGCCAUUUAAUACUUGCACGCUUGAUGAUUUCUGCUAGAUUCAAGAUAAGAGAGGAAAUGUCAAGAUCCAAAAGAAUUUCAAACUAUUUUAGACAUAACAGCAGAAUACUAGAAAACAUGAUCGACCAGACCAAAAGAAUGAAAAGGAGAGAAAACAUGAUUGGGAGUGCAUUAGAGAACAGAAACAUUAAAAAAAUUGCAGAGCAAAAAAUAGGGACCAUUUAAAUUCUUUUGAAGGAAAUGGAGGAUUUGGACUUUCAAGCAUGAAUAAAAACAAGUCAACAUAUGAAUAUUGCAAAUCACCCAUUACCUCACAAAUUCGGCACAAGGGGCAUGUCCAUGAACUCCAGUCAAAUAGAUCUACAAAGAAGUCCAAUUAAUUCUCACAUGCAAAAUCCGUAGCCCCGGGAGAAAAAAGGGAAGACCUGACUCACCUCUGUGUUGAGACCAAACUUUUACGCAGUUCCUGUGGUACUUCUUGCCACAGGUUUUGCAUGGAAGCAUCCUUCUUGCUCUCUCACUUCCUUCAUUUUCACCACAAAAGCAUAUCCGGCACAUAACAUUCACAUUGGACUGAGCCUGCUCUUCACCCACAACGCCUCUUGAGGUGUCCUGUCAAACGCAAAAGGAACUGAUAUUUUCCAGUGCAACAAAUACAGGAAGAACCAAAAUAGAUAAACGGAAAAAUAACAAGCAGAUUUCAACACCCCAAACAACACCAAAUGUAUUACAAUUGCAAACAUAUGUCAAUAAUAUUUGACGUUCAGCAAAAACGCAAAGUCAUAAUGGGAAAUCACGUGUCCCAAGAAAAGAAAACAUAAAAAAUGGUGCACGUUAUCGAAGCCAUGGGCUGUUCAAAGUACUAUAAUGGAACAUUCUAUUAGGUCGCUAAAUAUGAAGUCUUUUCUGUUCACACGACAGUAACGGUUAUGCCACGAGAAGACAAACUCUCCUUUGUGUGCAAUCAUAGGGUUCUUUCCAUCUGUUCCUACAAACAUUCCCCAAUUGAAAGGCUUUUGCUUUAUCUCUCUUAAUUUAUUAUCGGUCAGUCCUACUGUUUUUCAAACAUUAAAUGCCCUCUGUAAAACCUCAAGAAUCCACCUAUUUUCUUCUAACAGAUUUUGUUCCAAAACUGUCUUUGAAUCAAAAUAUAUCCGUAUCUUCGUAUCAAUGCUGUUAAACUUUGCAAAUAUAGAGGAAUAUAAAAAUACAAUAAUAAACAGAAACUACAAUUUAGGGAAACUCCCAAUUAUUACAUAUUCAUUCAAAUCAUCUUAUUCCCGGACACGGCAAAGCGGAAGCUUUAACUCGGGAGCAACCUCAGAAUGUCAGUGUCAAUCAGAAUUAACCGAAAACUUAUCAGCAUUAAGCAAUCUCCAAUUCGGUUUACAACUAAAUACUCACUCUAUCACAUAACACGCAUUCAGAUACAAACACAAAUACAAUAAGAGCCCCAAAAAUUAGCUCCAAAUCACACCACACUUGACACUUGAAACAAUUCGAACAAUAAAAAGGCAGUCAAUUUCAAAAACCUCACCGACAAAUAACCAGACUCGAAUCGCCGAGCAAAGUCCUCAGCCGCGACCAUAUCCGCAGCAGCCUUGCGCUGGAGAGCAGCCCGCUUGGCCUGAGAGGAAGCGGCGGCGGCGGACUCAUCCUCAACAACGGCGGCGGCAACAUCUCCGACGACCGAAGGCAUAACCGGCUGGGGAGGCGGCGGCAGGACCUUCGGAACCGCGACCUGGACCGUUUUUCCAUCGUCGCGGGCCCUAAUUCCGGAGGGAUCGAUGAGAAAGUCGUGAAGCCGCAGCACGUCUUCGAGGAAAGAGGCCUUGGCAUUCCCGGUGGCGAGGGCUGGCGGAAACCCAAGAGCACAGUCGCAGAUCCGCCGGCUUCACCAAAACAAAGAGAGAAGUUUUAGUGAGAGAGAGAGAGAGAGAGAAAUAGGUUUUAGAGAGAGAGAGAGUUGUACCAUGUAAUUGGGCAGGCGACAUGAAAUGCCAUAUUGCGGUGAGGAGAAGGAUUUAGAUUCGAAAAAAAUGAUGGGUUUUAGGGAUCGCCCUCCUUCCCUCCCUCUCCCUCCCACCCAAAAUUUUUACUUGGAAAAUUAAAAUUAAAAUUGUUUUAUAAAAAUUAAAUAAAAUUUAGGAAUUAUAAAUUUAAGGUGGGUAGCUGUUACUGUGUGUGGGUAAUACGAUGAGUCGAGGACGAAGAUUGUCGAGCGAGCGCGAGAGGAGAGAGAGAGAGAGAGAGGAGAGAGAGGGGAAGGGCUUAUGAUUUUUUUUGUUUGUGGAUUUUUUGUGUGUUGACCUUUUAAUUUUGGGUUUAUAUGGUAAUAAUUGGGGCGUUGGGCCUCGUGCGUGUGGACUUGUCUUCGCUUUCAUAUGUUUUAUUGGAAGCAGAUACAAUGUCUUCUCGUUCCCUUCUAUUUAUGUGACCACAGUAAAAUUACGUUAAUAUUUUAUAUUAAUUUUUUUAUAAAGAUAAUAAGAUAAAAAGUAAUAAAAAUAUAAAAUAUUAACGUGACUUAACCUUGACAACACAAAUAUCAAAUAAGAGGGGAUGAGAAAAACACCAUAACAGGACGGCAGACAAUAUACCUCCAUGUUUUUUUGUUCUUUAAUUUGAUUGAAUUAGGGAGAGAUUCAAUUGAUAGAAAUUGGGGUGGAAUCAAGAAAAAGUUAUGUAUGAUUUUUGUUUUUGUACUAAAAAAGAUUUUAUAGGUUGUAUGUCUAAGCUUAUUUCGGUAACUUUUAGAUUAUGCACGUAAAUAUGCGUAUUUCGAUAUUUUUUAGGUUAUGCACGUAAAUUAUCAAAGUAAUUGUGUACGCAUGUAGGAUAUGGUAUUCUCAUUUUUUUUUAGUACAACGAUAGCAUACAUACGUUUAAUUAAUUUCACUAAUAAACGUUUGAUUGCAGCAGCUAACUGAUAGUUAAGUGAUGCAACAAAAAUGAAAAUGUGGGCAAAUGAUGGAGAGAUUUUUUAAUGUGAUUGGUACGCGGGUGGUUUAUCACGUAUCACUAUACAAAUAGUGGGAUAUGUAUGCUAAAAAGUUAAUAACUUAAAAAAUAAAAAUUUUCACCACUUCUAUUAAAACAUUUGGUGUAUCACUUGUGUUCCCGUCACAACAAAAAAUUUCUCCAAAGGAUGGCCAAAGGUCUAAAAGUCAAAAAAUGGCUUGAUUCGUUCAAAACUCAUCUCCAACCGAUAACUAAGCUAUAAUUCCAUGGGGCACAACAUAUAGCUAUAAUUAUAUAGAGCACACCAGUCAAUUAUUUGGCCAAAGAGGCUUCAGGCUGCCCAAAUGUAGCCCACCUCUUAGUCACCUUUUUGGGGCUAACUCCUCAGUUGCAAUAAUUGAUUCAAAUUCAGUUGUUAGAUUUGAAAACAUCAAAUUGUAAUUUAAUUAAAUUAACCAAUAAAUUUAAAGUAUAAACUUAAAACUAAUAAAGUAUCGAGGAGGUUAUGUUUAACCAUUGCGAUUGGAGAUAAUAUAUAAGUAUGACUUGAUAUUAUCCAUAGCUAUGUUUAGCCAUUUCGGUUUAAGAUAACCUCGGGAAGGAAGAUUGCACCCUGGCUAACUUACAUGGCCCAAAUGUUGUGUUUGCGUUGUCUAAAUAAUUUACUUGUAGAAAAUAAAAAACUUAAACGUAGCAGUCUUCAGACAGAAAUGCCUUUGUUAAUUGACAGUUUACACUACCUCUGUAAUUUCUAACUUUUUUCACAUAGCUCCUCCUAAAUUUCUAUACAAACUACAAUUUUCACAAACCAUCUGUGGUAAUUACUUGCUACAAUUUGUAUCUAAAAUUCUAAGCUAUCUUUUGCUAUGUUUGGCACAUUUACAUGAUCGAAAAGUCAUCUUCCAGCCCAUCUAGUUGUCCUUUUAGACUGUUUUCUUGGAUGAUCAAAACCGAGGUUCUCACCGAGAAAUCAGAACCCGAAAGGACAUCUCCGAUCGGCCCCAACUCCGGACAUUGCUGCCAGUCAUUCAUCCCGAAUGUCAGAACCGAAUUCACCCUUUCCCCUCGUCCCACUAUAAUGAGCGCGUACUGCCCGUCCAAUGCCUUCAAGGUAGAAUACGUCUCCGCAGAAUUGGCCAUAUGCUUCUCCAUGUACGCAACUUGUCCACACGCGACAUGUCUCUCGUAGAAGCUUGCGAAACACUCAUCGUCAAGCCUCAUUUCCUCUUCUUGCUCAGAACGGCUGACUGUGUAAUUUCCAGGUCUGGCUGCUGCCUCUGAGUUAGCAUCUACCAAGAAUCUUAUGACUGUGAGCUUUACACCUGCAUGGCGUGCUACGCGACCUGCGUAGGCAAGUGCUUCUCUGUCGUCUUUUCCACCAAUGAAAAUGACUGCCACGCUGACAGAAUGGUCGUAAGUUCUUGGUAGUUUUUCAAUCAGUCCAAGGCCUCUGUCUACAAGAAUCCCAACGGAGCAUGGAGCAUUCUUGAGGACCUGUUAAAACCAUUGUUUAUCAUUAACUUAUACAAUGAGAAGUAUGCUAAAACUGAUAUACAUUACCUUACGGUUCACAUAUCUGAAAGCAGAAUUUCCGCUAUCCAAGGCUCCAUCUGCGCGUUGAACCUUGUGAAAUGGCAAGAUGAUGAGGGCCACCAUUGAGUCCUCUGCCAAAAUGCAAAUAUCCUGGGGCAUGCCAUUGAUAUUCGAGAGUGCAAGCAACCGUCUGAGUGCGAUACCAUCUCCGCUCUCCCCUACAUAUGCUUGAACUGCAGCGGUGACUUGAGCUCUCAUUUCUUUCACUCCUGUGUGAGUCACAGUCAUGGUGUCCACCCCUUCUUCUUUUACCAGUGAGGCUUCUAUUUCGUCUGUGAGUUCUAUCACGUCUGUUACAUAUACCACAAUUCCAGGGUCAGCCGUCCCUCUAGAUAUCUCAAUGAAGUUAAUCAUAGUACGAACAUUUUGAGGCCCAUGAAGGCAUAGCAAUAUGCGAAGUUCGCUUGAAGGGUCAAGCAAUUGCAGCGACAUUCGAUGAGUAGGUGCCCGUUUCCUUGCACGCUUGAGGAUUUGCGCCACAACUGAUGGUGCAUGGACAACCGUGAAAAAUAUAGCUAUUACCAUCACAGUGCUGGUCGAAGUAGACGUUGUCCCAGCCUGCAUACGAUAUCAGAAAAGCAAAACGCAACAAGAUGAGCAUGGUUCAAAUAAUAUGACCAAUUUGAUGGUGACGAAUCACUCGUAAGUUCUCUGAUAAGGAGGCAAAAGAGCAUGAUGCUAAAUUAAACAGUACCAUUGAUAACUUUAGGAGUAAAAUUGUCUCAGAAAAUUGAGAAGGAAAGAGAAAGCAAAUUUGAGAAAAAUAAAAGAGAGGUCAGAGACUAACUUGUUUUGCAGCAAUGGCCAAGUAUAUGUGAAAAUGGCCUUUGGUAGUGAGAAGAAGCCCGAGUGCAAUAGAUUCUGGCCACUGAAAUCCCAACAACUUUCCACAGUGACAGUUCCAGCAACUUUUCCAACUGUUGCUAUACCAAAAAGUACAAAUAACCUUGCCCAUGUCCCGAACUGGCCGGGUUGAAAUUCCUUUAACACGGCUUCAUAACCCAUCCAGAAGAAAAAAAUGGGAUAGUAAAUGGUAGAUAACAAGUAGUUGAUCUUGCCGAUCACCCAUUUCGAUACCCUCCCCCCCUUUGGUAAAAAGGUUCCUGCCAUAAAUGCACUCAAGGCAGGAUUGUAUCCAUAAAUCGGCGAGCAGGCAAUGACCAAGGCCAUGAAAGCAAGAGAAAGCACUAGGUGUGAACCUUUCAUGGGUUUGCCUUCAGGGUUUUCGUUGUUGACCCAGUUCAUGAAGAUUGGUGAAACAAAGGCUGCAAAAAGUGUCUGGAUCACCAAUGCAGAACCCAUCUCAACGGAUGUUCGGACUCGUUCUGAAGUCUGUAAAACUCUCUCUCCAGAUUCAACAGGCCAGAAGACAUAGCCAAUUGAGAGCAGAAGAGUGGCUACGAAAUCAGCGUGCAUUCCUGCAGAAAUGACAAGCUGGCCUAUGUCUGACUUGCCUAUUUUGAGACUCGUUAUGAGACGUGUCAGUACAGGGGAGGCGGUGCUAGAGAGGACUGUGGAGAGGGAGAGAGUGAAAUCAACCUUGAAACCGCCAUCUGUAAACUGCAGAAAUGGUGUUAUAGCGCAGGCUAGGAUGAAUGUGGAGAGCAUACCACCAUAGGCCACUUUAGCAUCCUUGGUUGGUUCUUUAAAGAGUAUAUACGGAUCCAUUUCUAUGCCUAACACAAACAUAUAGCCGAUCAUGCCAAAAUCAAUAAUGAAAUUCAACGUUUUACUGGCUGAAUCCGUUACUAGGUCGCGUAUGAACCCUAAGUUUCCGAUCAGCAGUCCUAUCUGCGUACCAUAAGAGAUAACAACAAUUUAAUAACAAUAACAGUGGCAAGUGAGUAGCACCUAAAAGAAAACACCAUCCAAGCUAGCGAAAGAUGGUACUUUCGUGUUAAAAACGAAAGGUACAGUUUCUUUUCUGCAUUCAGAUCAACUCUACAUUAAACUGCUAAUCUCUAAUGCAGCAUUUAGAUUCCAAACAAUUAAAGAACACGAGAGCCGCCACAAGGCAUACACGAUUAUGAAAUAGGCCUUGCUAGAAUAAGGAAGCAAGUUUUCGUUUGAUCAAAUACUAUAACAAAAAAAAUGCUUGAUCCCAUCUGCUAUUCACACUCGUAUGCACUCACAUGGGCCCUUUGAAAAUGCUUCUGCUGACAAGCCGUUUUGCAAGAAACGCUUUUAUUAAAAGCACGUGAAAUUCUAAAUACUCGUAGAAGGAAUGCAUAAUGACAAACUGAGAGUGCGAAUAACAUUUCCCGUUAUGAAAUAAAUUGACUGCCAACUUUUGAAAUGAAAAGUGAAGAGGAAAACCAAAACAAAAUCACGAGAAAGAAAUAAAAAACGAGGUGAAUGCAUGUCGAGAAAGAGAGAGAGAGAGAGACUUACAACGGUGUCGGUGGUAAUACGAGGCUGGGAAUACGGCUUUAACAGGAAGUGGGAUACGUUGCAGAGAGCAUACAUUAAGAAGAAACCCAGUGCAUAUUUUGCUACUUUUCCAAAAAGCUCUUUUAACUUGAGAGAACAUGGUCCAACAAUUGAAAUCUUCUGAGAAGUAUGAAACUCUUUCUUGCUGCCCAUUUUUUUUUCUCUUGCUUUUUUUUCUCAAUCUUUUGAGUUUUUGUUUGCAAUUGCAAGAGAAUUUUUUGUUUUUGUUUUGUUGGGCUGGAAGUUUUCAAAUGAGCACCCAUGGCACAGUUAAUUCUCUCUCUCUAACUCUCUCUCUCUCUCUCUCUCUCUGUAGCUUGGCAUUUGGCAGGGAUGAGUUAGUGGUUCUGAUCGAUUGCCUGUUGCUUUCUUUGAGGAGAAAUUGAAGGAGAGCGGCUAGGAGAGAGAGAGACAUUUACAAUGGUAGGCAGGUAUUAUUUCAUAAAUAAAAAAUUUGAAAGCUAAAAAAAAAACAAUGGUAGGCAGGCUAUUAGAUGCAAUGCAACUAGAUCCAAGGCUAGAAAACAUUGUAAAAAUAUUUGUAGUAGGAUCUUGACCAUGGACGGCGGCAGCAUAUGCUACUCAAGGCAGUUGCCCCCAAUCAACUUCUUUUGAGAUGAAAAAUUGUUUCAACUAAAAAGAUAAGUUACCCUCUCACGUUCUAUAAUUUUCCUAUCUUCUCACCCUUUCUAGUCAUGUAACUUUUUUCAUUAGGGUUUUAAACACCAAUUACGCAAAAUCAUGAGUUGGACAAUAAGUUGAUAACUUUUUAAUUUCAUCAUUUAAAGUUACCCCACUAAACAAUGUUUAUGGCUACGUCCGUGAUCUUGACCCUACUUGAGUAAAUAAUGAGUGGUGAUAUUUUUAUCCACCUAUCUUAUUAGUAUAUCAACACAUGAAAAUUAGUAAUGUGCCAUAAUGUACAGUCUUGGAAAUUUCAGGCAAAGCCCCUUCAAAAGUGGUAUCGCCAUAUAUGCUGAAGUUUGACAAUAUACAUGCGCGCCCGUGGUUGAUUCUCUCUACGUCGUCUAUGGCCGUGGAGGAGCAUAUAUCUUCCUUCUCUAGACAGAGUCCAUAAUCUCGUGUAUAUAUAGGCAGUGGUGGAAAAUAGUUCCAAUAGACGGGCACAGAGAGAAGAGAGAGGGUUUAGGGUUAGGGUUUUUCCGCAACGUACAGUUGAUUGGAGGAAGAACUGACAAAACAAGAGUUAUGUUUGGAAGACUAUCUAUUUCAAUACUAUUUUGUAAAUGAUAUGUGAUUGUUGAUAAUUAAAUUAUUACAGGCUUAUUGUAUUAAGAUUUAUAUAAGCUUUUGCGAAGGUUUUUUUUUUUUUUUUAAUAUGAGACAUUUAUAGAUUUCAUAGACUUUUAUUGACUAUUGGAAACUUCAUGAAACCUACUGACUUUUUAAUGAUAGAGUUAUUUUUAGAGUUUACGAUUGGGCAAUGGAGUGUCAACUUGAUGUCUCUAGACGUGAAGGCUCAUCGAUCUGUCACUAUUGAAUAGAAAGAAGCAAAAUUUCAUUACUUCAAAACGUCAACAGAGUACAUAAUUAAGAACCAUAUAAAACCUCAUACAGGUAAACUACAUGUGUUCUACGCUAUUCGAUUUGUGUUUACACGUGUUAGACUUUAAAAUUCGGUACACGUUAAAAAGUAUGUUUAGAGCAUGAAUCCCACAUAAGGACCGAGCAUGUGCUUAGAAUUAAUUGGGUUACUUUGCAUAUUAUUAAUUAGUUGUACGAGGAAAUUCAUAACCUAAACAAUCGACUUCUUUCAAUAGGAUAAAAAAAAAUAUUUAUUUAGCUUGAACGCGUGUACCUAACAUUAUUCUAUAUAUAAGCACGAGUUUCACUUAUUUAUAUAUCACUCUCAAUUAAGUUGAUUUCGUUCAAAAUGUUUGAGUCAAAUUCACAAUUUACAAAUACAUAAGCAUUUGUCUAAUAGCACAGGUGUGUAGUUGACACGUCAUAUCAUUCAUGUGGGUCACAUAAUCCGAGGCUACAUGUUCCACCAUAACCAAAGAGGUAUAAUUCAAAAUUGCAAAAUUUCUCAAAAUUAUUAAAUGAACCGUGACUUGCCACUAGUUGUUGCACUGGAAGCUUCCAUCAUAAUUCUUUCUUUUUGGUCUCUUUCUCAAAUGAUAUUUGUUUAUACCAUAUUUAGGGCCUCGUAUUUAGAUCUCGUACAAAUACUCGGGGAACUUAAAUGUAAUUAUGUGAUAAAGGAAUGGACAAAUAUGUAAUAAGUGAGGAGUCCUUAUUCUAUAAAAGGACCCCUUACCCUCACAAUUGGGGAGAGGCCAAUUCCUAGGCCCUCUCACCCCCUCUCAAAGCUCUCACUCUCAGAGCUCUCUCUCCCUCAGAUAAAUACAUAAUCAGUGUGGACGUAACCCAAACCUUGGGGUGAACCACAAUACAUCUUGUGUUAUUUACAUUACUUGCAGAUUCACAAUCAGAUUUACGUUGUUCCAAGACCUCCGGUUUUGUGCAUCAACAUUUGGCGCCGUCUGUGGAAAACGACAUGAAAAGUUAUGUCGGUUCUCUCUCAAUUUUUCCCCUCCGCCGUGAAUCUGCAAAAUCUGCAGAAACAAAAAACCUCCUUGGCCUUUUCCAGAAAACCCCCACAAACACAAAGCCACCAAGGCCACAUUUCUCACUCUCUCUACUCUCACUUACAAAAAUGGCAGCCAUGGCCGAACGCCACCUAGCUUUGUUUCUCACUUGCAGAACGCAUCCAACAAGAUCAGCACUUGGAAAUCCACCUUCGUUGACCCGUGUACCCUGGCUCGAGGAGAACCAUUCUCUCGGUUCAAUUGCAGAUCUGAGCAUGCAGAAGUCUUACCCGCCACAGCCAACUCCGCGACCUUGGUACCUGCAGCUCACGAUCUCCAAGGGAACCUCCAGCUGCUUCUUUAACUUCAUCCAGGCCGACUGUGCAGCAUCUGCCACUUCUGCCACGAUGUCGUCCAGCACCUUCUUUUUCUUCCCUAGCUUCUGUCACACGUGUCGUCCAGUGGCAACCUCCAGCAGCUCACGAUGUCGUCCAGCAGCUCAUGAUGUCGUCCGUUCAGUUGCCUCUUCGCUCUCUGACAUGAGCAUCCGAAAGGGCCACGUCGUCUUCCUCCUGUCCCAGAACUCCAUCUUCUUCCUAAUCGUCUGCCUGGCCGUGAUGUCGCUGGGCGCGAUCAUAACAACCACCAACCUCCUCAACACUACUCGAGAAAUCAUUAAGCAAAUUGUCGAUUCCAAACCGGUGCUCGACAUGCCUGGGCUGGGGAGACGGAGGACGCUUUGCAUCUCCGAUUCGACAUGCUUGGGCUCGAGAAAGGGGAUGUGAAGAUCUCGGUAGAACACAACAACAUCCUGAACAUCAAGGGAGAAGGCGGGAAAGAAAACAACGUCGGAGAGAGAGAGGAUGGAGAAGGCAAAGGCAGCAGAAGCCAUAGCCAAUGUCUCAUUCAAUCAUUUUAGUUGAGAAGUUAUCCUUUAGAUCUGAGCCUGAGAGCAUCCACUACUCACUACAAUGGGGGAAAAGGAAAAGACCCAGACCCGCCGUGGCAAAAUUUAGAAAACCCCCAAAAUCAAACUAUGCUGCAAACUGGCACAAAAAAUAUGGAGGGGAGUUCCGGCGCCGCAAUCAAAACCCUAAAAACCAGAUGAUGGUUCUUCGGUGACCUCGAACAAGUUGAGGAGAAGAUCAUGAUCCACCCUGCCUUGUCCGACUUCGUCCAGCACCUUCUGUUUGGUUACUGAGAAAAUAGAUAAAGAGAGAAAAAUUUGGUCUUUCCUUUAUGUUUUGUUAUCAAAUGGCUUGGGUAAGGGACGUUGCUAAAAGCAGUAUGGAUGAUUUUUUGAGGAAUUUGAGUCGUCGGCAGCUUUUGAUGCCUGAUGAUCCCUGACGACGGCCACAGUUGUGGAGUACUUUUAUACCCCGGCAAUCCCUGACGACGUCGUUCCUGGAACUAAGUCUUGGGUUUUCAGCUUUCCAGCUGAAAAAUGAAGAAGCAUGGAUGGCAACGUCCUCCAAUCUGAAAGCAAAAGGAAAAGAGAAAGAAAAGGAAAAGUAAAAGAAAAAGCAAGUGAGUGUGUCUGGAGGUGAAGAGAUCGAAAAGAAAAAGGAAAAAGAUCAUGUCAUUGGGAGAAUAUUUUAGAAAGCAGAAAAGAGAAAGCAAAAGGGAUGCACAUGGGGACACUGCAAAAGUAAGGAAUAUACACCCCACCAGAAUGAUGUAAUUUAUUUUUCUUAUCUUUUGGAAACAUCUGUAUAAACCCUAUCAGAGGGUAAUAUGUAUAAACCCCAUCAAAGGGUUAAAAAAAAAGGGCAAAGCCCAAAAUAAAUGGGCUGACAUGUUGUGGAGGACGAAGGCCCAUGAGCCCAAAAUAGUACCAACCAGGUGAUCAGAAGUACAUCCAGUACUCCAAAAUUAUUUGGCAACUACCGCUAUUACCACCAACCAAAUGAUGAAAUGUACAACCCGUACUCUAAUAUCAUUUGGCAACUAGCCAUUCACGCCACCAACUAGGUGAUGAAAUGUACAACCCGUACUCUCCUUCAUGCCACCAACCAGGUAAUCAAAAGUAUACCCAGUACUUCAAAUCAUACAUGAGCAUUACUCAUGUCAAUCAUACAUAAACAUUCAUAAGCAUUACUCAUGUCAAUCAUACAUAACAUUCAUAAGCAUCACUCAUCCAAUCAUACAUAAACAUUCAUAAGCAUCACUUAUGUCAACAUCUAUGAGCAUCACUCAUGUCAAUCAACAUAAACAUUCAUGAGCAUCACUCAUGUCAAUCAGCUUCAAAAGCUUUAUUUACAGAGCUCCAACUUCGAAAGCUUCAUUUACAGAGCUUUAGCUUCAAAGCUUCACUUGCAAAGCCUCACAUAUAAAGCUUCAGUGCAAGGUAUACAAAUACCGCAUCCGAACAACCACCAUUUCGACCCAUACAUGGAUUCAAUUUGAAGUCUCCAGCCAACAUACUCUAUUGACCGAAGACUUGGGGGACUACAUUAUGUACCAUAUAUUGGGCCUCAACUAGGCCUCAUGAAAAUACUUGGCGGACUUAGCCCAUUAUCUAUGUACUGAGAAGCGAGCCCUUAUUCUAUAAAAGGGACUCCCUCACUUUCAUUAGAGAGCACUCAUGAAAAAUACUAGGGGGACUUAGCCCAUCACUUAUGUAUUGAGAAGUGAGCCCUUAUUCUAUAAAAGGGACUCCCUCACUUUCAUUAGAGAGCAACGCCGCCAGUUGAGCAACCGCCUCGCUGCGAGCAUCACUCCUAACCUAUCAUUUAUGUAUUGAGGAACGAACCCUUAUUUUAUAAAAGGGACUCCCUCACCACCAUUAGAGAGCAUCGCCGCCUAUUGAGCAACCGUCUCGCCGUGAACAUCAACUCUAGCCCAUCAUUUAUGUAUUGAGGAGCGAGCCCUUAUUCUAUAAAAGGGACUCCCUCACCUUCAUUAGAGAGUAACGCCGCCAGCUGAGCAACUGCCUCGCCGCCAGCAUCACUCCUAGCCCAUCACUUAUGUACUAAGGAGCGAGCCCUUAUUUUAUAAAAUGGACUCCCUCACCUUCAUUAGAGAGCAACACCGCCAGCUGAGCAACCUUCUCGCCGCAAGCAUCAUUCCUAGCCCAUCACUUAUGUAUUGAGGAGCAAGCCCUUAUUUUAUAGAAAAGAUUGCCUCACCUUCAUUAGAGAGCAACGCCGCCAGCUGAGCAACCGCCUCGCCGUGAGCAUCAACUCUAGCCCAUCAUUCAUGUAUUAAGGAGCGAACCCUUAUUCUAUGAAAGGGACUCCCUCACCUUUAAACGCCACAAGCCGAGCCAACCAAGGCAACAUAAGCCACGAGCCGAGCAGCCUUGCGGCAUGUGCUACUUAUAGUUAAGCAUCAUUUCAGAUUGGGUACCACCUCAUGUCGAGUAUCAGUGCCAGACGCCAUCUAGUUACUUCGGCCUACACAUGGACUGAAUUUCAAGUCUCCAGCCAAAAGACUCUUGACUGAAGACUUGGGGGACUACUGUUUAUACCAUAUUUAGGGCCUCAUAUUUAGAUCUCGUACAAAUACUCGGGAGACUUAAAUGUAAUUAUGUGAUAAAGAAUGGGGCAAAUAUGUAAUAAAUGAGGAGUUAUUAUUCUAUAAAAUGACCCAUCACCCUCACAAUUGGGGAGAGGCCAAUUCCUAGGCCCUCUCACCCCCUCUCAAAGCUCUCACUCUCAGAGCUUUCUCUUCCUCAGAUAAAUACAUAAUCAGUGUGGACGUAGCCCAAACCUUGGGGUGAACCACGAUACAUCUUGUAUUAUUUACAUUACUUCGGGUACCACAUAUAACUUUGCCAAAGAUCUCUGACAAAGUUUAGACACAUAAAUUUUGAAGGUCCAGCUACCCUACUAUUACCCACAAGGGUAAAGGAACAGCACCAUUGCUUGAUAACUAGAAAGUCCCAAUGUGUGUCAACCUCCGUGCUCCGUGGCAAGGCAAACUGGUAAAAAUGCCCAACCUUUACUCACAUUCGAGAAAACACUCCCAACAAGAUUGCUUGCUCAAAAAUCGAAGAGGAACCACUCUCCGAAUCUCUAGAGCCAGACUCCCAACAAGAUUACUUUCUUAAAAAUCGAAGAGACAUUGCUCUCUGAAUCUCAAGAGUCAAACUCCUAACAGGAUUGCUUUCUCAAAAAUCAAAGAGGCAUCGUUCUCUGAAUCUCGAGAGCUAGAUCCCCGACAGGAUUGCUUGUUCAAAAACCGAAGAGGCACCACUCUCUGAACUUCGAGAGCCAGAUUUCCUUGGAUAAAGCUUGUCUGCAAUCUUCACUCGCAACAUCAGCUUUCCAGAAGAGUUUCCCUACAACCAGGAGGCCAAUCACAACGUGACACGUGUCGACAUAAGAAGCCAAUCAUAGCGCGACACGUGUCAACAUCAGAAGCCAAUCACAACACGACACGUGUCAAUGUCAGAAUGAAACUAGAAACUCUCUUCUAUAAAUAGAGAUCAUUCUCUCACAAUAUUUCCUAAUGUCAUUUGUACUAAAUCAUUCACUUGUACUCACUAAAUGAGAGCUUGAACCUAUGUACUUGUGUAAAACCUUCACAAUUAAUGAGAACUCCUCUACUCCGUGGACGUAGCCAAUCUGGGUGAACCACGUACAUCUUGUGUUUGCUUCCCUGUCUCUAUCCAUUUACAUACUUAUCCACACUAGUGAUCGGAGCAAUCUAGCGAAGUUCACAAACUUAACACUUUUUGUUGUACCAAAGUCCUCACUGAUUUUGUGCGUCAACAUUUGGGCCAAAGUAACUAGAUGUUGUCUUGAACUGAUGCUCGAUAUGAGACUGUGCUCAAUCUGAAAUGAUGCUCAACUAGAAGUAGCACACGCUGUGAGGUUCGUGGCUUAUGUUGCCUUGGUUGGCUCGGCUUGUGGCGUAUGAAGGGGAAGGAAUCCCUUUUAUAGAAUAAGGGCUCACUCCUCAAUAUAAGGAUGAUAGGCUAGAGUUGAUGCUCUCUAAUGAUGGUGAGGGAGUCCCUUUUAUAGAAUAAGGGCUCGCUCAUCAAUACAUAAAUGAUGGGUUAGGAGUGAUGCUCGCGGCGAAGCGGUUGCUCAGCUGGCGGCGAUGCUCUCUAACGAAGGUGAGGGAGUCCUUUUUAUAAACUAAGGGCUCGCUCCUCAGUACAUGAAUAAUGGGUUAGGAGUGAUGCUCAUGGCGAGGCGGUUGCUCAAUUGGCAGUGGUGCUCUCUAACGAAGGUGAGAGAGUCCCUUUUAUAAAAUAAGGGCUCGCUCCUCAAUACAUAAAUGAUGGACUAAGUCCCCUAAGUAUUUUUCAUGAGUGCUCUCUAAUGAAAAUGAGGGAGUUUAUUUUAUAGAAUAAGGGCUCGCUCCUCAAUACAUAGAUAAUGGGCUAAGUCCCCCAAGUAUUUUCACCAAAUGUUGAUGCAUAAAACCGGAGGUCUUGGAACAACGUAAAUCCGACCGUGAAUCUGCAAGUAAUGUAAAUAACACAAGAUGUAUCGUGGUUCACCACAAGGUUUGGGCUACGUCCACACUGAUUAUGUAUUUAUCUGAGGGAGAGAGAGUUCGGAGAGUGAGAGCUUUGAGAGGGGGUGAGAGGGCCUAGGAAUUAGCCUCUCCCCAAUUGUGAGUGUGAGGGGUCCUUUUAUAGAAUAAGGACUCCUCACUUAUUACAUAUUUGCCCCUUCCUUUAUCACAUAAUUACAUUUAAGUCCUCCGAGUAUUUGUACAAAAUCUAAAUACGAGGCCCUAAAUAUGGUAUAAACAGUAGUCCCCCAAGUCUUCAGUCAAGAGAGUUUUUUGGCUGGAGACUUGAAAUUUAGUCCAUGUGUGGGUCGAAGUAACUAGAUGGCGUCUGGCACUGAUACUCGACAUAAGGCGGUGCCCAAUCUGAAAUGAUGCUUAACUAUAAGUAGCACAUGCCGCGAGGCUGCUCGACUCGUGGCUUAUGUUGCCUUGGUUGGCUCGGCUUGUGGCGUUUAAAUGUGAGGGAGUCCCUUUCAUAGAAUAAGGGCUCGCUCCUCAAUACAUGAAUGAUGGGCUAGAGUUUAUGCUCACGCCGAGGCGGUUGCUCAGCUGGCGACGUUGCUCUCUAAUGAAGGUGAGGGAAUCUCUUUUAUAAAAUAAAGGCUCGCUCCUCAGUACAUAAGUGAUGGACCAAGAGUGAUGCUCGCAGCGAGGAUGUUGCUCAGCUGGCAGCAUUGCUCUCUAAUGAAGGUGAGAGAGUCUCUUUUAUAGAAUAAGGGCGCAUUCCUCAAUACAUAAAUGAUGGGCUAGAGUUGAUGCUUGCGAUUAGGCGGUUGCUCAGUAGGCGGCGAUGCUCUCCAAUGGUGGUGAGGGAGUCCCUUUUAUAGAAUAAGGGUUCACUCUUCAAUACAUAAGUGAUAGGUUAGGAGUGAUGCUCGCGGUGAGGCGGUUGCUCAGCUGGCGGCGUUGCUCUCUAAUGAAGGUGAGAGAGUCCCUUUUAUAGAAUGAGGGCUCGCUCCUCAAUACAUAAGUGAUGGGCUAAGUCCCCCAAGUAUUUUUCAUGAGUGCUCUCUAAUGAAAGUGAGGGAGUCCCUUUUAUAGAAUAAGGGUUGACUUCUCAGUACAUAGAUAAUGUGCUAAGUCCCCCAAGUAUUUUCAUGAGGCCUAGUUGAGGCCUAAUAUAUGGUACAUAAUGUAGUCCCCCAAGUCUUCGGUCAAUAGAGUCUGUUGACUAGAGACUUCAAAUUGAAUCCAUGUAUGGGCCGAAAUGGCGGUUGUUCGGAUGCGGUAUUUGUAUACCCUGCAUUGAAGCUUUGUAGGUGAAGCUUUGCAAGUGAAGCUUUGAAGCUAAAGCUCUGUAAAUGAAGCUUUCGAAGCUGAAGCUCUGUAAAUGAAGCUUUUAAAGCUAGAGCUUUCGUAAAUGAAGCUUUUGAAGCUGAUUGACAUGAGUGAUGCUCAUGAAUGUUUAUGUUGAUUGACAUGAGUGAUGCUCAUGAAUGUUUAUAUUGAUUGACAUGAGUGAUGCUCAUGGAUGUUGACAUGAGUGAUGCUCAUGAAUGUUUAUGUAUGAUUGGAUGAGUGAUGCUCAUGAAUGUUUAUGUAUGAUUGACAUGAGUAAUGCUCAUGAAUGUUAAUGUAUGAUUAACAUGAGUAAUGCUCAUGUAUGAUUUGAAGUACUGGGCAUACUUUUGAUCACCUGGUUGGUGGCAUGAAGGAGAGUACGAGUUGUACAUUUCAUCACAUGGUUGGUGGCAUGAAUGGCUAGUUGCCAAAUGAUAUUAGAGUACGGGUUGUACAUUUAAUCACCUGGUUAGUGGUAAUAACGGCAGGUUGCCGAAUAAUUUUGGAGUACAAGGCGUACUUCUGAUCACCUGGUUGGUGCUAUUUUGGGCUCAUGGGCCUUUGUCCUCCACAACAUGCCAGCCCAUUUAUUUUGGGCUUUGCCGGUUUUUGUUUUUUACCCUCUAAUGGGGUUUAUACAUAUUACCUUCUAAUGGGGUUUAUAAAGAUGUUUCCGAAAGAUAAGGAAAAUAAAUUACAUCAUUCUGGUGGAGUGUUUAUUCCUUGCUUUUGCAGUGUCCCCAUGUGCAUCCCUUUUGCUUUCUCUUUAUCCCCAUGUGCCUUUCUUUUGCUUUCCUCUUUUUUGCUUUCUAAAAUAUUCUCCCAACGACAUGAUCUUUUUCCUUUUUCUUUUCUAUUCCUUUCUUGGAUCUCUCCACCUCCAGACACAUUCACUUGCUUUUGCUUUUACUUUUCCUUUUCUUUCACUUUUCCUUUUGCUUUCGGAUUGGAGGACGUUGCCAUCCAUGCUUCUUCAUUUUUCAGCUGGAAAGCUGAAGACCCAAGACUUAGUUCCAGGAACGACGUCGUUAGGGAUUGCCGGGGUAUGAGAGUACUCCACAACUGUGGCCGUCGUCAGGGAUUGUCAGGCAUCAAAAGCUGCCGACGACUCAAAUUCCUCAAAAAAUCAUCCAUACUGCUUUUAGCAACGUCCCUUACCCAAGCCAUUUGAUAACAAAACACAAAGGAAAGACCAUAAUUUUCUCUCUUUAUCUAUUUUCUCAACAACCAAACAGAGGACCAGAAAAAUUAACGAGAAAUACAGAGAGGUGUGAUUCACCUGGAGAACUUUGGGGCCGAGGAGGUGAGAAGACCUUAGGAGCUUAUGCGAGUUAGGCAUGGACCUGGCAGAGAUGGAUUUAAGGUUCAUGUUGGUGAGCUCGGCUUCCACUGAGUUCACUACCGUACGCGUGCCGUCGGACAAGGCGGGGUAGAUUAGGAUCUUCUCCUCCACUUGUUCGAGGUUGCCGAAGAACCAUCCUCUGGUACUUAGGGUUUCGAUUGUGGCGUCGGCAGCGGCGCUGGAACUCCCUUCCAUAUUUUUUAUGCCAGUUUACCGCGUAGUUUGAUUUUGGGGGUUUUCUGAAUUUUGCCACGGCGGGUCUGGGUCUUUUCCUUUUCCCCCAUUGUAGUGAGUAGUGGAUGCUCUCAGGCUUAGAUCUAAAGGAUAACUUCUCAACUAAAAUGAUUGAAUGAGACUUUGGCUAUGGCUUCUGCUGCACCUGCCUUCUCCAUCCUCUUUCUCUCCGACGUUGUCUUCUUUCCCGCCUUCUCCCUUGAUGCUUAGGAUAUUGUUGUGUUCUACCUAGAUCUUCACGUCCCCUUUCCUGAGCCCAGACAUGUCGAAUUGGAGAUGCAGAGCGUCAUCCGUCUCCCCAGCCCAGACAUGUCGAGCACCGGUUUAGAAUCGACGAUUUGCUUGACGAUUUCUCGAGUAGUGUUGAGGAGGUUGGUGGUUGUUAUGAUCGUGCCCAACGACAUAACGGUCAGGCAGACGAAUAGGAAGAAGAUGGAGUUUGGGGACAGAAGGAGGAUGACAUGGCCCUUUCGGAUGCUCAUGUCAGAGAGCGAAGAGGCAACUGAACGGACAGCAUCUUGAGCUACUGGACAACAUCGUGAGCUGCUGGAGGUUGCCACUGGACGACACGUGUGACAGAAGCUAGGGAAGAAAAAGCAGGUGCUGGACGACAUCGUGGCAGAAGUGGCAGAUGCUGCACAGUCGGCCUGGAUGAAGUUAAAAGAAGUAGGUGGAGGUUCCCUUGGAGAUCGUGAGCUGCAAGUACCAAGGUCGCGGAGUUGGCUGUGGCGGGUAAGACCUCUGCAUGCUCAGAUCUGCAAUUGAACCGAGAGAAUGGUUCUCUUCGAGCUUGGGUACACGGGUCAACGGAGGUGGAUUUCCAAGUGCUGAUCUUGUUGGAUGCGUUCUGCAAGUGAGAAACAAAGCUAGGUGGCGUUCGGCCAUGGCUGCCAUUUUUGUAAGGGAGAGUAGAGAUAGUGAGGAAUGUGGCCCUGGUGGCUUUAUGUUUGUGGGGGUUUUCUGGAAAAGCCCAAGAAGGUUUUUUGUUUAUGCAGAUUUUGCAGUGUUCAUUUUGUAGAUUUUGCAGAUUCAUGGCGGAUGUGAAAAAUUGAGAGAGAACCGACAUAACUUUUCGUAUCGUUUCCCACAGAUGGCACCAAAUGUUGAUGCACAAAACCGGAGGUCUUGGAACAACGUAAAUCUGACCGUGAAUCUGCAAGUAAUGUAAAUAACACAAGAUGUAUCGUGGUUCACCCCAAGGUUUGGGCUACGUCCACACUGAUUAUAUAUUUAUUUGAGGGAGAGAGAGCUCUGAGAGUGAGAGCUUUGAGAGGGGUGCGAGGGCCUAGGAAUUGGCCUCUCCCCAAUUGUGAGGGUGAGGGGUCCUUUUAUAGAAUAAGGACUCCUCACUUAUUACAUUUUUGCCCCUUUCUUUAUCACAUAAUUACAUUUAAGUCCCCCGAGUAUUUGUACGAAAUCUAAAUACGAGGUCCUAAAUAUGGUAUAAACAAUAUUUUUCUUUAAAAAUUUAAAUUAGUGAGAAAUUCAAACUCAAUCCAUAAAAAUCAAUGUAAUUGGACUCACGUCUGCCUGUCGAACAAGCGAAAAAACGAAAACAAACACAAUAAAAAGAGAGCGUGCCAAAAAUAGCAGUGGCAGUAAUAACUAUUUGGUAUAUAAAACGCCCAAAACUAUUUUUACGACAAAGGAGAGAGAGUGAGUGACUAUAAUUUAUUUAUUUACUUAUUUAUUCUCCUUCCCUUCUCAAUACAUUUCCUCCUCCGGUGGUGAGCUUCGGUGAUCCGUUCUUCUCCCUCGAUCCAUCUCCACCGUCUGAUCCCCGGAGGCAUACCCUACAACCGCCACCACCGUCACCUUCUUACAAUUCCACAAUCCGAUUCCCACUCCCUCUCAUACGUAUAUGUUGUUGUAGAUGGUUUGAGAAAAUUGAGGAGUUUGGCUGAAGAAAAAAAAAAGAUGGGUGUGAUUUCAAGGCAAGUGUUCCCUGUUUGUGAAAGCCUGUGUUUCUUCUGUCCAGCAUUGCGUGCGAGAUCACGGCAUCCCGUCAAACGAUACAAGCAGAUGCUCGCCGAGAUAUUUCCUCGCUCUCCGGUGUGAUCUCUUUUAUUCACAUUUUUAUUCUUGUUGGGUAUUUUUAAAAUUAAUGUGAAUGUCUAAUUGAAGAUUAAUUUUAUGCUGCAAAUUGAAAAAAAAAAAAAAAAAGAACCAUGUAAAUUGUAUACAGAAGCAAUGUGAGGCGUUUUGGUUAUUGGGGGAUCUUGUGAAAAAAAUGGUAACUUGUGUUGCAAGAAACGAACAAUUUUCUCUUUAUUAUUCACUAUAUAAUGAGGUCGGAUAAUAUGGUGAAGCUUUCUGUAAGUUACAUUGUUAAAUUUACGGUUCUUAUCACGUUACCAUAGUGUUAUCCAAAAAUUGUUCACAAUUUGGUGUUUGCAUUUCCCCUUCUUUUUCCUCCUUUAAUAUGAAUUCCUCACAAUUUUGUGUUCGGACUUUUUGUUUAAUCAGGGUUUGAGCACAACUGGUUUGUAUGCAAAGUUUUUAUUUCAUGUUUGUUCCUUCAGUUGUGUUAUUGGAUCAUUUCUUUCCCUUUUUGGCAGGACGAAGAACCAAACGAUCGCAAGAUUAGUAAACUAUGUGAAUAUGCUUCAAAAACUCCUCUCCGUAUUCCAAAGGUGCAACCUCUUCUCAUUGUGUAAAAUAUGGUUCACAUUGUUGCCAUGAACUUAAGUGAUAAUUUAAUGUCAAAAUUGUGAUGUAUCCUCGUAUAUGAAGCUGCUGACUUAAGUCAAUUUGGGUGAGGGUAUGAUUUUCUUAGAAUGAUAUACUAGUUUAACUGGUUAAACAGAAAAGUUGAAGGUCCUUGUGGAAUUUAGUCACAGUUCUACUGAUGUGGAAGUUUCUUUUGGUUUGGAGGACUCUUCAGGAGGAGGGACCGUUGUUUAUAAGGGCGGUUUGUAUUAAGUACUACACCAAAUUGAACUGGUAAAGUAACUAGAGAUGGUCAAUUUGUAAGAGGCAUAUGUGUAGUCCCAAAAUCUGAGAUUAAUUGAAACACAAUACCUCUUAUGUUUUGGCUAAGAUGAUGAAGAAUGAUAGUUAAUUAUGUGCAUGAACUUAAUUAUGGAAAGUAAUGACAUUUAAAUUUGAAACAUGCUAAACAGAAGGGAUUCAUUAUAUUUAAAUGGUUCCUUACCUUUUAAUUUUCUUCCGGUCUAUCGUUGUUUUUUCACCCCUUAGUAAAUAAUGUUUAUUCAUUUUCUUGACCUUUCAAAGUUAUAAAUUUUAUUUUACUUUUCAUUUGUGUAUUCUUCUGUUAAGUUGAUAGAGGUUCUAAAUUUAUAAUUCAGAUCACAACUACUCUGGAGCAACGGUGUUACAAGGAUUUGAGGACUGAAAACUUUCACUCAGUGAAAGUUGUCAUGUGCAUCUACCGGAAGUUGUUGGUCUCUUGUAAGGAGCAAAUGUGAGUUAUUUAUCGAGGUUGUUGCUUAGUAUGUUUCUGUCUUCAGAUUCCAAAACAUUAUUGAGAAAGCCUAGAUCAAUUGGCUGGAGUGCUAGACUGAUGACAACUUACUUGACACCAAAUUUGUGAAUUUUCACCUCAGAAUAAUGUGCCUAUUUGAGUCUUAACCUGUGAAAAUUAUGGGGCACUUUUAUACAACAACAACAACAACAACAAAGCCUUUUCCCACUAAGUGGGGUCGGCUAUAUGAAUCCUAGAACGCCAUUGCGCUCGGUUUUGUGUCAUGUCCUCCGUUAGAUCCAAGUACUCUAAGUCUUUUCUUAGAGUCUCUUCCAAAGUUUUCCUAGGUCUUUCUCUACCCCUUCGGCCCUGAACCUCUGUCCCGUAGUCACAUCUUCGAACCGGAGCGUCAGUCGGCCUUCUUUGCACAUGUCCAAAUCACCAGAGCCGAUUUUCUCUCAUCUUUCCUACAAUUUCGGCUACUCCUACUUUACCCUCGGAUAUCCUCAUUCCCAAUCUUAUCCUUUCUCGUGUGCCCACACAUCCCACGAAGCAUCCUCAUCUUCUCCGCUACACCCAUUUUGUGUACGUGUUGAUGCUUCACCACCCAACAUUCUCUGCCAUACACCAUCGCUGGCCUUAUUGUCGUCCUAUAAUAAAAUUUUCCCUUGAGCUUCAGUGGCCUACGACGGUCACACAACACGCCGGAUGCACUCUUUCCAUCCAGCUCGUAUUCUAUGGUUGAGAUCUCCAUCUAAUUCUCCGUUCUCUUGCAAGAUAGAUCCUAGGUAACGAAAACGGUCGCUUUUUGUGAUCUUCGCUAGAUUGCUCCGGUCAUUAGUGUGGAUAAGUAUAUAAAUGGAUAGAGAUAGGAAAGCAAACACAAGAUGUACGUGGUUCACCCAGAUUGGCUACGUUCACGGAAUAGAAGAGUUCUCAUUAAUUGUGAAGGGUUUACACAAGUACAUAGGUUCAAGCUCUCAUUUAGUGAGUACGAGUGAAUGAUUUAGUACAAAUGACAUUAGGAAAUAUUGUGGGAGAAUGAUCUCGUAAUCACGAAACUUCUAAGUAUCGGAGUGUGGUGACGUCUUGACUUGCCUUAUCUGUCUCAUAGGUAGAUGUGGCAUCUUCUCUGGAAGUACUCUUUCCUCCAUCCAGGGGUGGUAUCUUUAACUGGUGGAGAUGCACAAGGUAAAAUGUAUCAAUUUCACUUGAAGCUUACUUGUAGUUUCAGGCUUGGUCAAGCGCGAUACAAACCAUGUAGUAGGAGUCCCCCCAAGUCGCCGAGCUAGGGGGUCUGCUGAAAGAGGUGACAGACAAGGGUAAGCAAUCAGAGCUCCGACUGAUUGUUCACCUUCUCCCCCAUCUUGCAGCAGCAUGAAGGAUAAAGAGAAGAAAAAAUGAGAAGAGAUGAUAUGAGAUACUUUUUGCUUUUGAAGAAGUAACUUUCCACAGGCUUAUUCUUGAACUGAGCUGGAGGGUUUUCUGGUUUCCUCCAGAGUAUAAGGCCGACUGAAGAAUUUGAGGGUCAAAACAAGUCCAUCAAAUCUAGAGUACGUUCCACCCUGCUGAUAUGGGAUACUUUUGCUUUUGACAGAGUAAUGGAUGUAUCGGCACGUGUGCUGUUACGCUUGUCUCCCACAUGCUUCCUUGUAUCCUUCGCACUUGCCCUAUCUGUUCCUCAAGCAGAUGUGGAAUCUUCCCUGGAAACAUAAGAUGUUGAAGAUGAGUACUCGAGAGCAAUGUCAGGUAAGUAAUCAGGUAAGGGGUUCCAGGCAGUCAGUUCCUGGCUGGAAGCUUGAUUCCAAGUGCUGACUGAUUGCUCUCUUUCUCCUUGUCUUGCAGGUAAAAACAAGGCCAAAAGAAAAAACAGGGAAAAAGCAUGAUAUGGGAUACUCUUGCUUUUAACCCUGAUGAUAUGAGAUAUUCUUGCUCUAGUAUAGCUUGUUUGCAGAGGUAUUAUCAGGGGGAAAGAAAGCUGAAUAUUUCGAAAGGCUUUGUUGGGAGUGUGCCCUCUCAGAUAUGAUGAAGGGUUUAGCAUUUUUGCAGGUCUGCCUGUCCGUUGGGGAUGGAGGUCGACAUAUAUAGGGGUCUCCCUAACAACAAGUAGUAAAUGCUAUUCCUUUACCCUGCUUGGUCAUAGCACGGUAGUGGGAGCUGCCAGUUUCACAUGUUUUUAACUCUGUCAGAGCACUUUGAAAAAGUGGUCUGUGGUAUCUGGCUCUCGAGAUUCGGAGAACGAUGCCUCUUCGAUUUUUUUGAGAAAGCAAUCAUGCUGGGGGUCUGACUCUCGAGAUUCGGAGAGCAGUGUCUCUUCGAUUUUUUAGGAAGUAAUCAUGUUGGGAGUCUGGCUCUCGAGAUUCGGAGGGCGGUGCCUCUUCGAUUUUGGAGCAAGCAAAUCUUGUUGGGAGUGUUGUCUCGAAUGUGAGUAAAGGUUGGAUAUGUUUGCUAGUCUACCUUGCCACGAAGCACAAAGGUUGACACACAAGGACUUUCCAAUUAUCCAGCAAUGGUACUGUUCCUUUUACCCUCUCUUCGAUUUUGAGAAAGUAGUCAUGUUGGGAGUCUGGCUCUCGAGAUUCGGAGGACGGUGCCUCUUCGAUUUUGGAGCAAGCAAAUCUUGUUGGGACUGUUUUCUCGAAUGUGAGUAAAGGUUGGGCAUGUUUGCUAGUCUACCUUGCCACGAAAGCACAGAGGUUGACACACAGAGACUUUCCAAUUAUCCAGCAGUGGUACUGUUCCUUUACCCUUGUGGGUAAUAAUAUGGUAGCUAGACCUUCAAAAUUUAUGUGUCUAAACUUUGUUAGUGCUGUUUCUUUGCUAUUCUUUUACCUUUCUUGGUCAGAGCGAUGUAGUGGGAGCUGCAAGCUUCACGUGCUCAACUUUGGCAGAGAACUUUGGCAAAGUGAUCUGUGGUACCCAUGAGUUAUUGUUGCGUGUGGGAAGUGGGUGAUUGAACAGUAAGAUUCAUGUGCUUUCUACUUCACCAGAAGUCUUCGACAGAAUGCCCAUAAUUUCUGCAAAGCUGAGUGUGCGUGUGACAGGUGCUGCUGACAAGGCUAGAAAAGUAGGUGCCUCUUCGAUUUCUGAGAUCGGCCCUCGUGGUCUCUGAGCAGCCCAGCUUUUGAGAAAGCGAGCGCCUCUUCGAUUGAUUUCGGAGAACGGUGCCUCACCGAUUUUUGAGAAAGCAAUCAUGCUGGGGGUCUGGCUCUCGAGAUUCGGGGAGCAGUGUCUCUUCGAUUUUUGAGAAAGUAAUCAUGUUGGGAGAGUGGCUCUCGAGAUUCGGAGGGCGGUGCCUCUUCGAUUUUGGAGCAAGCAAUCUUGUUGGGAGUGUUUUCUCGAAUGUGAGUAAAGGUUGGGCAUGUUUGCUAGUCUACCUUGCCACGAAGCACAGAGGUUGACACACAGGGACUUUCCAAUUAUCCAGCAAUGGUACUGUUCCUUUACCCUCUCUUCGAUUUUUUAAGAAAGUAGUCAUGUUGGGAGUCUGGCUCUUUAGAUUCGGAGGACGGUGCCUCUUCGAUUUUGGAGCAAGCAAUCUUAUUGGGAGUGUUUUCUCGAGUGUGAGUAAAGGUUGGGCAUGUUUGCUAGUCUACCUUGCCACGAAGCACAGAGGUUGACAUACAUGGACUUUCCAAUUAUCCAGCAGUGGUACUUGUUCCUUUACCCUUGUGGGUAAUAAUAUGGUAGCUAGACCUUCAAAAUUUAUGGGUCUAAACUUUGUUAGUGCUGUUUGUUUGCUAUUCUUUGACCCUUCUUGGUCAGAGCGAUGUAGUGGGAGCUGCAAGCUUCACGUGCUCAACUUUGGCAGAGAAACUUUGGCAAAGUUAUCUGUGGUACACCCAUGAGCUAUUGUUGCGUGUGGGAAGUGGGUGAUUGAACAGUAAGAUUCAUGUGUUUUCUACUUCCCCAGAAGUCUUUGACAGAAUGCCCAUAAUUUCCGCAAAGCUGAGUGUGCGUGUGACAGGUGCUGACAAGGCUGGAAAAAGUAGGUGCCUCUUCGAUUUCUGAGAUCGGCCCUCGUGGUCUCUAGGGAGCCCAGCUUUUGAGAAAAGCGAGCGCCUCUUCGAUUUCUGAGAUCGGCCUUCGUGGUCUUUGAGCAGCCCAACUUUUGAGAAAGCAAACGGCUCUUCGAUUUCUGAGAUCAACCCUCGUGAUCUCUAAGCAGCCCAACUUUUGAGAAAGCAAACGCCUCUUCGAUUUCUGAGCAGGCGCCCUCUUUGAUUUCUGAAGCUCCGUCGAGUGCAGAUUUUUUAUAGGGGCUGGCAUUAAGUUUCCAAAGCACACUUGAAUCUCCACCAGUAGAAGCUUCAUUCUUGCACUUCUAAGAUCUUGAUUUGUCCGACCUCUUCUCUUCAACACCUUUGAAAAUGUCUGGCCCCCCUCCGACCGUCGUUUUUGACUUGAACCUUGUUGAAGAGGCAGCCCCGCCUUCUCCAGACAACAUAUGGCGCCCAUCCUUUCGUCUCCCCAAUUGGUCUUCUUACCCGUUGGGGAUUCCGUGAUGAAGAAUGAUAUGACCGCUGCGGUGGUGGCCAGGAACCUUCUCACUCCCAAAGAUAACAGACUACUUUCCAAACGGUCUGAUGAGUUAGCUGUUAAGGAUUCGCUGGCUCUCAGUGUUCAGUGUGCAGGUUCUGUGUCUAAUAUGGCCCAACGCCUAUUUGCUCGAACCCGCCAAGUUGAAUCAUUGGCGGCUGAAGUGAUGAGUCUCAAACAGGAGAUUAGAGGGCUCAAGCAUGAGAAUAAACAGUUGCACCGGCUCGCACAUGACUAUGCUACAAACAUGAAGAGGAAGCUUGACCAGAUGAAGGAAACUGAUGGUCAGGUUUUACUUGAUCAUCAGAGAUUUGUGGGUUUGUUCCAAAGGCAUUUAUUGCCUUCGUCUUCUGGGGCUGUACCGCGUAAUGAAGCUCCAAAUGAUCAACCUCUGAUGCCUCCUCCUUCUAGGGUUCUGUCCAGUACUGAGGCUCCAAAAUGAUCCCCCUCCGGUGCCUUCUCUUUCUGGGGCUCUACCGACUGCUGAGACUUCUCCUAAGCAACCUUUGUGAAGGCUCCCUCUUGUGUGUUUAUUUUGACUCAUGUAUAUGUACAUAUUUGUAGCUUAUCGGGGAUAUCAAUAAAUAAGUUUUCCUUCAUUUCAACGUAUUGUGUUAAAUACACCAAAGCAUUCUUCGCUAAGUUCUUUGAAUUUUCUUUUGUUGAAGCUUGUAUGUUGAAGCUUUCUGAGUGGAGCAUGUAGGUUGGGGUAGUGUUCCCUUAAUUUCCCGAGUGAGGAAAACUUCUUGGUUGGAGACUUGGAAAAUCCAAGUCACUGAGUGGGAUCGGCUAUAUGAAGCAAAAGGAAGGCACUAGUUUUUUGAAGCUCGGUUCACUUGUAUUGUCUCCAAAUUGUUAAUGUUCGAGCAUCUGUGGAUUUUUACUUUCUCAACUCAUCUUCCUAUGUGUGCUGACUUUGCCAAACACGAGAAUUAAUUAUGUUGGAUGACAUGGAGCAUCUGUGGCCAAAUCAGGCCAAUCGGAUGUGCGUACAUCCUGCUCUGGCAUCAAUUUACAGGCACAUGAUUACAGAGUGCAAGGCGCUGAAUGUCCAAUGUAGGACUUUAUGUUCACAACACAAACAAUACUUUUCAUAGGUCGAUUUAGAUUUUGCAUGAGGUGAAUUGACUGGAAUUUUUCACCUAGCUAGGAAAUUCAAGCUAACCUUCAUUUGUGUAUCUAUUGAUAUUGUAUUUGUUGAUGCCAAAAUCUGAGAUUUAUCCCAUGAGUUUUCUCAUAUGGCAUAGAUCAUAGAUACAGUCAUAUCUUGGCAUAUAUGUAUACAUAUUUUAUCCUCGGCUAAGAAGCGGUGAGUCUAACAUGAACACAGACAAACUCAAACACUAUCAUAAUGGUUAGUGUUUGUACCAUACUUGACCAAUCCCGAAACUACCGAGCAUCGGCCAACGCUAUACUGUCAAGGACCCAGAAGAGUUCCCCUCCGACCAGGAGGCCAAUCACUACUCGACACGUGUCAAGAUUAGAAGCCAAUCAGAGCGCAGCACGUGUCGACAUCAAGAACCAAUCACAACAUGACACAUGUCAAUGUGACAAAGCUACAAGUUUUUCUAUAAAUAGGGGUCAUUCCCCCACAAUAUUGCCUAAUGCCAUUUUGUGUUAAAUCAUUCACAAGAACUCACUAAAUUGAGAGCUUGAUCCUUUGUACUUGUGUAAGCCCUUCACUACUAAUAAGAACUCCUCUACUCCGUGGACGUAGCCAAUCUGGGUGAACCACGUACAUCCUGUGUUUGCUUCUCUGUCUCUAUAUUCAUUUACGUACUUAUCCUCACUAGUGACCGAAGCAAACCAAGCGAAGGUCACAAAACCUGACACUUUCUGUUGUACCAAAGUCUUCGCUGAUUUUGUGCAUCAACAUUUGGCGCCGUCUGUGGGAAACGACACUUAUUCCCUACUCUCUUCAGCUGUGUCAAGCUGGUUUCUAUCAUUCGUCGUACUUUCUUUGACCAAAUCCCUUUUGACAUAGGCAGCCCUCUCCAAACAUGGGAAGCGAAGGAAGCCACAGCACACAGAAUGACACACACCCCCCUUGCACAUAGUGCGAAAAACAACGAAAGAAGGAAGGAAAAACGAGUUCUUCUUCAAGCUAAAGUCGAUGAAUGAUUGGAAGCUCAGAACAACAAGAUAGCAAUGAAGAAUGAGGUCCUCCAGGAGCAAUAUGAGAAGCUCUUCGAGACACUCCACGAAGCUAGGCAAGCUCAGACACGCGAGCUUGUUGCCCCGUGGAAGUCAACCAUCAACUGGGUGCCCUCCAACAUGGAGGGUCACAUGCAUUCGACAUAGAUAUCCCUGAUAGGGAACAGAUUACCCCUCGACUUGAUAAUCAACAUGAGGUCUCUCUUAACCCAGUUGCUUCGACCCGAACCAUGAGAAGUGGAGGGAGACACCUCUUUGCUGAAAGGGGCAGAAGGAUCGAAAGCCGUCUUUCGCGAUUGUCGGGAUUUUCCUGAAAGCGUCGUCGAGAGAAUUCCAUCCAUAUAAGCUCAAAGAUCAAUGACCCAAAGGAUUUCUGAGAGACUCGGUCCCUGCUGCCACGGCCCGAGCCGGCACCACCAAUUUGGGGAAAGGGCAACAUGUCCUAGAGAGACAUAUGAGGGUACAGGGGACUCAGAGGAGGUGUUCCGACAGACAUACCCUGGAAGCCAGUACAAACGAGUCCAGGGAAAAAAUCACAUGCCCUUGAUCAAACCUUCCUAAUUCCAAGAGGAGAUGGAGAUUUACGAAAGAAAGCUCCAGUGGCACAUAACUCCGCUCAGGACCCCCUUGUCCUACAACUUAUUGAGGAAGUAAACAAGUUGAAGGCUGAACGUCAGGCUGAAAUACCUGACUGGAACCAACCCAGGCCUGGCCCUCUUACAAGGAGGAUCCUCAACACCCCCCUUCAAGCAAAGACAAAGCAAAAGCUUGGCUUGCAACUUUAUACUGGAAAAGAGGACCCGAUUGAGCACCUUAACCUCUUUGAGUCCACCAUGGCAUACCGGAUGCACACCGACGAAGAGCGAUGUCUUCUCUUCCCCUCCACCCUCUCUGGCGGAGCUCUAAAUUGGUAUUGUCGUCUUACACCUGAGACGGUAGACUCAUUUGAGGAAUUGAGGAAACUAUUUGUUUCCCAACACAUUUUCCAAACCGAUCGCUUGCACUCUGCAGAUGACCUGUACACUAUCCGCCAGAAGCCAGACGAGUCAUUACGUAUGUAUGCUGGCCGCUUCAGCCAUGAAUACUCCCGGUGUGCCGAGGCAGACGACAAGACUGCCCUCAAAGCCUUCACGGCAGGCCUACGUGAUUGUUUCUUUAAAUACAUGAUCAAUGCCAAUACUUGGAAGACUUACUCUGAGGUGAUGGCGCAGGCUUAUAACCAUGCCUCCGCCGAGGCAAAGACAUAUCAGGAGAAACCCCCUACAACCAUCCUUUAUCAACAAGUGGGAGGUGGAAGCCAGACUCACCUAAAUGAGAAGACCUCGACUUUCCAAACAGCAGUGGCACCUCCCCAUGCCUUGCAUAAUGCUUCGCCGAAUCAACAGACAUAUCAAUUUCAAGGCAAGAGGAAGGAUUUCCAUCCUCACCACUCUCAUUUCAGUAAAAAGAGUAAGGGACACUAUCCCGAUAACCAAGGGUAUCGCCACAAUAACGCUCGCCCCCAGGCAGUCAAUGCAGUGGGUCAACCCGCGUCAAGAUACCCCCUACCCCAAGGUAUGAGACAUACACGCCCUUGAAUGCCACAUGCGCGGCCAUUUACCCCAGCAUAGCUCACCUGAUACCAAAGCCAAAGCCGAGGCACCCAGAUUACACGCCCCCGAAUAACGCGGGCAUGUUUUGUUGCUACCAUGAGCAUAACGGCCAUGAUAGCGAGAAAUGUAUCAUCCUCCGUGAUCGUAUUGAAGCUUUGGCACGAGAAGGGAAAAAUUGAUCAAUUCCUCCUUCACCCUCAAAGGGAUAACCGUAACCAACGCCAGGUGAAUGUCAUAUAUUCCAUAAGCGGCGGCACACCCAUAUCUGAAUCUUCCAAUAGGGCCAUGAAAAACAGUGAACGAAUUCUGAGGCCUGGUCACCAAGUGUUUCACGUGGAAGACAUCAGGGGAGGGAAGUAUCAAAAGCCUAACUGGGAUCCGAUAUGUUUUCUACCCUGAGGAAGAAAGAGGCAUCAUCUACCCUCAUAACGACCCAUUGAUCGUGGAGGCUCACAUAGCCAACUUUGAUGUUCGACGAAUCCUCGUAGACACAGGGGCUUCGGUCAAUAUCAUGUUUGCCGAAGCUUUCAGGGCACUCAGUGUAGCUGAACACUUGCUCGAUCGCUCGAUUUCUCCUCUGAUAAGCUUCUCCGGUGAUAUCGUGCAACCCUUAGGGAGCAUACAUUUACCCUUUACUAUUGGUACAGGCCCUUACACGGCUACCAUUACCACUAACUUCCUAGUGGUUGACUGCCCAACGGCAUACAAUGUCAUCUUUGGGCGCACAGGCAUCAAUGAUCUCAAGGCUAUGGUAUCCACGCAUAUGCUGUUGAUGAAAUUUCCAACCCCCCAUGGCAACGGCUACAUCAGAGGAGAUCAGCUUAGUGCACGAUCAUGUUACAACACUUCAGUUAAGCAACAACACUUGCCCGGACCCAAGGAAACCCUGUCUGUACAUGACCAAGUCACAAAGACCAGCUUAGAUGAAGCGAACUUGGAUAUUCCUGAUAGCAACAAUCAACCCGAUGAUCCUCGAGAUGACUCUUUCACCCAGCAAGCCCAACCUGCUAAAGAGUUGGAGAAGGUACCUAUCUCAAGAGAUUAUCCAGAUCGCAUGGUGAAGAUUGGCACCACAUUGUCACCACCCCUUCGGUUAGCAUUGAUAUCUUUUUUGAAAGAGAACACUGAAGUCUUCGCCUGGUCAUACGAGGACAUGCCAGGCAUCUCUCCCGAUGUCAUCUGUCAUCGUUUGAGUAUUGACCCCAAGAUCAAGCCGGUGAGACAGAAGCGAAGAUCUUAUGACGCUGAACGAUACGAGGCAAUGAAAGCAGAAGUUGAAAAACUCAAAGGCAUAGGCUUUGUCCGCGAAGUCAAUUACCCGACAUGGGUAGCAAAUGUGGUCCUUGUUAAGAAAAAUCCGACCAAAGAAAGUCUUUUGCUUCAAAAGGUCUUGUGGAGAAUGUGUGUUGACUACACCGACCUAAACAAAGGGUGUCCGAAAGAUAGCUUCCCUCUUCCUCUUAUUGACAGACUUAUAGACUCUACGGCCGGAUGUGAACUCCUGAGCUUCAUGGAUGCUUACUCAGGAUACAACCAAAUCCUCAUGAACCCUUCGGAUCAAGAACACACAGCCUUCACUACCGACAGAGGACUAUACUGCUACAAAGUCAUGCCUUUCGGCCUAAAGAAUGCAGGAGCGACUUAUCAGAGACUAGUCAACUCAAUGUUCGCCGAGCAGAUUGGGAAGAGCAUGGAAGUUUACGUUGAUGAUAUGUUAGUCAAGAGCAAACAUGCUGACCAACACAUCACCAACCUAUAUGAAACUUUCACUAUUUUGAAGAGGUAUCGAAUGAGGUUAAACCCCAACAAAUGUGCCUUCGGCGUAGGCUCUGGCAAAUUCUUAGGUUUCAUGAUUAGCCAACGAGGCAUUGAAGCUAAUCCCGAGAAGAUCAAAGCAAUCCUCGACAUGAAGGAACCGGUAACUUCAAAGGACAUCCAGAGCCUUACUGGCAAGGUGGCAGCCUUAACCAGGUUCAUUUCUAAGGCCACAGACAAAUGUGCUCCCUUUUUUAAAGCACUUAAGGGAAGUAGGAAGUACAUUACAUGGACUGAUGAAUGUGCCGAGGCAUUCAAAAACCUCAAGGAGUACAUGAGUAAAGCCCCUCUACUCUCCAAGCCCGAGGUAGGAGACAUUCUCAUUAUCUACCUAUCGGUAUCAGCUUCAGCCGUAAGUUCCGUUCUCAUUCGAAAGGAUGGGAAUAUUGAGCGACCUGUCUACUACGCUAGCAAAGCCUUACAAGAUGCGGAGACACGGUACUCUAACAUUGAGAAAUUGGCUCUGGCAUUGGUCAUGUCUGCUCGAAAACUCCGCCCUUACUUCCAAGCGCACUCCAUCAUCGUGCUUACCAAUUAUCCUCUUCGACAGAUACUCCAAAGUCCUGACACUUCAGGGCGAAUGAUCAAAUGGGCAAUAGCGUUGGGUGAGUUUGACAUCUCCUACCAACCAAAGCCAGCUGAGAAGGGCCAAGCAGUGGCAGACUUCAUUGCCGACUUCACAUAUCCGGUUUGACAUUGCUUCUACACCUGAAGCAGUGGCUUCAUUACCCCCGGAAGCUCAGAAGAUAGAACCAACAACCCCAGCAUGGAGUCUGUAUGUUGAUGGCUCAUCCAACCAACAGGGCUGUGGAGCGGGACUAGUCUUGACUACGCCCGACAAAGUAGCAAUGGAGUAUGCUCUUCGUUUCAAAUUCAAGGCAUCAAACAAUGAGGCCGAGUAUGAAGCCCUUCUAGCAGGAUUACGUUUGGCCAAACACCUCGGGGUUAAACAAAUUGAUAUUUUUCAGUGACUCCCAAUUAGUGGUCAACCAGGUUACCAACAACUUUGAUGCUAAGGACAGCUCCAUGCAGCAACAUAUCUUGCGCAAAACACAACACUUUUGCGCAAACACAACUUUUGCUCACUUCCACUACCAGAUCACCCAAGUUCCUCGAGCGGCAAACAGUCAUGCAGACGCCCUGGCUCGCCUCGCCUCAGCUGUGGAAGACAAGAUUGGAAGAAAAAUUCAUGUCGAACUGUUGGCAACACCAAGCACCAUGGCCGCAGAAGUAUGCAACUUACAACAGGGGGAUAGUUGGAUCACCCCGAUCUAUAAUUUCCUUGCUCAUGGCACCCUCCAAAUGAUAAAGUCCAGGCUAAGCAAAUUCGAUACAAGUCUACCCGCUACCUGAUCAUCAAUGAUCAACUCUAUAAGCGAGGUUUUUAGCCUGCCAUACUUUAAGGUGUCUUACGCCUGCCGAGGCGGAAAUCGUCCUUCGGGAAAUACAUGAGGGAGUCUGUGGAGAUCAUGCUGGAUCUCGGUCCCUAGCACACAAGACUUUUCGCCAAGGAUAUUACUGGCCAACACUCCACCAGGAUGCCAUCAAAGUAUCCCGCUCAUGUGACAAAUGUCAACGAUAUGCAACUAUUCCUCAUUCCCCUCCAGAGCCUCUUACUCCUAUGAUCAGCCCUUGGCCCUUCGCCCAGUGGGGACUUGAUGAUUGAUCGGCCCAAUGCCGGCAGGGAAGGGCAAAGUCUGUUACGCAGUCGUUGCAGUGGACUACUUCACAAAGUGGGCCGAAGUAGAACCCUUGGCAACCAUUACUGAGGCAAAGAUAGAAGACUUCGUGUGGUAAGAAGAACAUCCUUUGUAGAUUCGGCAUUCCCAAUGCGAUAGUCACUGACAAUGGGCGACAGUUUGACAACAAAAGAAGUUCAGGUUGUUCUGCUCUAAGUUCAACAUCAACUUAUGCUUUGCCUCUCCAGCUCAUCCCCAGUCUAAUGGACAAGUUGAGGCCAUCAACAAAAUAAUCAAGCGCACUUUGAAAACCAGCUUGGACAAAGCUAAAGGCUGUUGGCCAGAAUUUGUACCCCAAGUUCUUUGGUCAUAUCGCACUUCAUAUCGGACUUCAACAGGAGAAACUCCAUUCUCACUUGCCUUUGGCACAGAGGCGGUUGUCCUGUUGAGCUCGAGCAAGCAACAUUCCGAGUCCAGAGAACUACAUUCAAAGUGAAAAUGACAAACAACUCACCCUCAACUUGGAUUUAGUCGAGGAACACAGAAACCAAGCUCACUUGAGGAAUGUCGCCUACAAGCAGCGCAUCUCCAACUAUUAUGACUCUAGGGUCAAGCUUCGUUCUUUCAAAAUAGGAGACUGGGUCUUAAAAAAAAGAUUACUCUGCGACAGAGUCCCGAGUGAAGGCACACUUAGUCCAAACUGGGAUGGACCGUAUGAAGUCAUUGGCAUCAGUCGCCCUGGCUCUUACACACUUAGAAGCUCCGAUGGCAAGACCCUUGGCCAUCCAUGGAACGCUGAUCACUUGAAGUACUACUACAAAUAGACUCACGAUGUACAAGUGUUGAGCUAUAGCCGUUCGGCAUCCUAUGUAAUGAAGGCCAUUUGGCAAUGAAUUCAAUAAAGAGUCACUACAAAACAAGCAAAUGAAGACCGUGUCAAGCGCCAAAAAAAAAAAAAAAAAAAAAAAAAAAAAAAAAAAAAAAAAAAAACAACUUCAUCCAAAAAGCUUCACCCGAAAAGCUUCACCUCCAAAGCUUCACCCACAAAGCUUCACCUAAAAAGCUUCACCCAACAAGCUUCACCCGAAAAGCUUCACCUCCAAAGCUUCACCCACAAAGCUUCACCUAAAAAGCUUCACCAAAAAGCUUCACCAUCAAAGCUUCACCUAAAAAGCUUCACCCAAAAAGCUUCACCUAAAAAGCUUCACCCAAAAAGCUUCACCAUCAAAGCUUCACCUAAAACAGCUUCACCCAAACAGCUUCACCCGAAAAGCUUCACCUAAAAAGCUUCACCCAAAAAGCUUCACCCGAAAAGCUUCACCUAAAAAGCUUCACCCACAAAGCUUCACCUAAAAAGCUUCACCCAACAAGCUUCACCCGAAAAGCUUCACCUCCAAAGCUUCACCCACAAAGCUUCAACACCAAAGCUUCACCUACAAAGCUUCAACACAAAACCUUGCUCCAAAUAAACAAAUUUUGUUCACAAAACCCAAGAUGCCCUUGAACUUGUACAAAAAACACUUGGGUAAACAUAAACAUUUUUUGUUUUACACCCACAAGGGCCCAAAAUUUUCCUUCUUAUUUAUUCACUUAUAUAUGUUCCCAAACAUAUUAUAAUAGAUCCAACAACAAGCCAAAGUCCCAAAUUUCAUAAUGGACAAAAGUACAAGCAAUUCAUCAAUAAUGAAGGUGCUACAAAAAAUUGGAAUCUGCUCCAAAAUAGAAAUCCAACCCAAGAGACUUUUUUCUCUCUCUCCCUCUUCCGCCUCCUUUCAUCUAUCAAAUUUCUGCAACCUCUGCUCUUCUCCAAUGGAGCUGAAUUUUGGACACCCUAUAGUUCUUGAGCAUAUGAACAACUUUCAAGAAGGAACCAUUUCUGUUUGAGCGACGGAAAUUAAAGUGUUGAAGCUCCAAACAUGAUAGUCGGCUUCUUGCAGAUUUCGAAGCUGUUGUGAUGUUUCGAAGAUCUGGAAAUAUUUUAACCGUUAGUUCAUCCUGAAUGUUUGAUAUGUUAUGAAAGAGUCGAUGAGGAACAACUUCAAUGAAGAAAGCAUACCGAUCUGAAACAAGAGAAAAUGGAGUUUCGAAGCUCACAACAAAUCUGACGGGUUGACAGACAAAUAAUAACCAGUCAUUCAUCAUACCUGAAUUUCUUGAGUUAUACAGCUCCGAGGGAUCUCAAAUUUGGAUAUGUUGUAGUUCACAAGCUGAGGAACAACUUCAAUGAAGAAAGCAUACCGAUCUGAACAAGAGAAAAUGGAGUUUCGAAGCUCACAACAAAUCUGACGGGUUGACAGAAAAAUAAUAACCAGUCAUUCAUCAUACCUGAGUUUCUUGAGUUAUACAGCUCCGAGGGAUCUCAAAUUUGGAUAUGUUGUAGUUCACAAGCUGAGGAACAACUUCAAUGAAGAAAGCAUACCGAUCUGAACAAGAGAAAAUGGAGUUUCGAAGCUCACAACAAAUCUGACGGGUUGACAGAAAAGAAAAAUAAUAACCAGUCAUUCAUCAUACCUGAGUUUCUUGAGUUUAUACAGCUCCGAGGGAUCUCAAAUUUGGAUAUGUUGUAGUUCACAAGCUGAGGAACAACUUCAAUGAAGAAAGCAUGCUGAUCUGAGCAAGAGAAAAUAGAGUUUCAAAGCUCACAACUAAUCUGACGGGUUGACAGACAAAUGAUAAACAGUCACUCAUCAUACCUGGAUUUCUGGAGUUGUACUGCUCCGAUGGCUCUCCAAUUUGGAUAUGUUGUAGUUAAGGAAUUAACGAACAACUUUCAUGAAGACAACUUUGUGAUUCGACCUACAGAUGAUGGUGUUAUGUUGAAAAACAAUUCCGGUUGUUAGGGGAAAUGAAAAACAAUUCCACCAAAGAAACAUCAUUAUGAUGUUUCAUCAUUAUGGUGUUUUCAUCAUUAUGAUGCUUUCAUCAUUGUGAUGCUUCCAUCAUUGUGAUGCUUCCAUUAUGAUGUUAAUGCACCAACGGUUACACCUUCUGCAAUUCCACUUAUUCGGGCCUAGCAACCUUCAUCAACAAAAUCUAUGAAGAAAAAGUCCGGGGCUACCACUUAGAAAACAAAAGAAUGAAGUUUUGGUACUUACGACAUGGACUAUUAGCAAGACACCUCAUUCGUCAACUCCCUCGACUAGAGACUUGGGGGACUCCCACCAUAUGCUACUACGCCUUGGUACUCAAAAGUUCGUGACUACUCAGUGACUUGGAUUUUUCAAGUCUCCAACCGAGAAGUUUUCCUCACUCGGGAAAUUAAGGGAACACUACCUCAAACUACAUGCUUCACUCACAAAGCUUCAACAAUACAGGUUUCAACAAAAGCAAAAAUUCAAAGAACUUUAUGAAGAAGGCUUUGGUGUAUUUAACACAAUAUGUUGAAAAUGAAGCAAAGCUUAUUUAUUAAUAUUUUCGAUAAGCCACAAAUAUGUACAUAUACAUGAGUCAAAAUAAACAAACAAAAGGGAGCCUUCACAAAGGUUGCUUAGGGGAAGUCUCAGCAGUCGGUAGAGCCCCAGAAAGAGAAAGCACCGGAGGGUGGUUAUCCGGAGCCUCAGUACUUGACAAAACCCCAGAAGGAGGAGGCAUUGGAGGUUCAUCAUUUGAAGCUUCAUUACCAGGUACAGCCCCAGAGGACGAAGGCAAUAAAUGCCUUUGGAACAAACCCACAAACCGCUGAUGAUCAAGUAAAACCUUACCAUCAGAUUCCUUCAUCUGGUCAAGCUUCCUCUUCAUGUUUGUAGCAUAGUCAUGGGCGAGCCGGUGCAACUGCUUAUUCUCAUGCUUGAGCCCUCUAAUCUCCUGUUUGAGACUCAUCACUUCAGCAGCCAAUGAUUCAACUUGGCGGGUUCUAGCAAAUAGGCGUUGGGCCAUAUUAGACACAGAACCUGCACACUGAACACUAAGAGCCAGAGAGUCCUUAACAGCCAACUCAUCAGACCGUUUGGAAAAGUAGUCUGUUAUCUUUGGGAGUGAGAAGGUUCCUGGCCACCACUGCAGCGGUCAUAUCAUUCUUCAUCACAGAAUCCCCAACGGUAAGAGGACCAGUAGGGGAUAUGAAGGAUGGGCGCCAUAUGUUGUCUGGAGAAGGCGUGGCUGUCUCUUCUCCAAGGUUCAAGUCAAAACGACGGUCGGAGGGUCCAGACAUUUUCAAAUGUGUUGAAGAAGGAAGAGGUCAGACAAAUCAAGAUCUUAGAAGUGCAAGAAAUGAGCUUCUACUGGUAGAGAUUCAAGUGUGCUGUGGAACUUAAUGCCAGCCUCUAUAAAAAUCUGCACUCGACGGAGCUUCAGAAAUCGAAGAGGCGUUUGCUUUCUCAAAAGCUGGGCUGCUCAGAGACCACGAGGGCCGAUCUCAGAAAUCGAAGAGGCGAAUGCUUUCUCAAAAGCUGGGCUGCUCAGAGACCACGAGGGCCGAUCUCAGAAAUCGAAGAAGCACCUGCUUUUGCAGCCUCGUCAGCACCUGUCACAUGCACAAUCAGCUUUGCGGAAAUUACGGGCAAUCUGUCGAAGAUUUCUGGUGAAGUAGAAAGCACGUGAAUCUUACUGAUCAAUCACCGCUCUCCAUAUGCACCAUCAACUCCUCGGGUACCACAUAUAACUUUGUCAAAGAUCUCUGACAAAGUUUAGGCAGCACGAGAAUUUCGAAGUGCCAGCUACCCUACUAUUACCCAUAAGGGUAAAGGAACAGCACCACUGCUUGACAACUGGAAAGUCCCUAUGUGUGUCGACCUCCGUGUUUUGUGGCAAGACAGGUUGGCAAGAACGACCAACCUUUAUUCACAUUCGAGAAAAGACUCCCAACAUAAUUACUUUCUCAAAAACCGGAGUAGCACCGCUUUCCGAAUCUCGAGAGUCAGAUCUUCGACGGGAUUGCUUGUUCGAAAACCGAAGAGGCACAACUCUCAGAACUUCGAGAGCCAGAUUUCCUUAGAUAAAGCUUGUCUGUAAUCUCCACACGUAAUAUCAGCUUUCCAGAUACCACAUACCACUUUUUCAAAGUGCUCUGACAAAAUUAAAACACGUGAAGCUGGCAGCUCCCACUACAUUGCUGUGACCAAGAAGGGUAAAGGAAUAGCAUUACUACUUGUUAUUGGGAAAUCCCUAUAUACAUUGACCUCCCUCCUCAACGGACAGGCAAACCUGCAAAAAUGCUCAACCCUUUCUCGCAUUCGAAAAGGCACCCUCAACAUAAUCUCUCGAAAUACUCAGCUUUAUUUCCCCCCGAUAAUACCUCAGCAAAUAAGCCACACCAAGAACAAGAGUAUCUCAUAUCAUCAGGGUCGAAAGCAAGAGUAUCCCAUAUCAUGCUUUCUCCCUGUCUUUGUCUUUGUCCUUGUCCACACCUGCAAGACAAGGAGAAAGAGAGCAGUCAGUCGGAACCUGAAAUCAAACCUCCAAUUUGGAACUGACUGCCUGGAGCCUUUUGCCUGGUUGCUUACUUAGCAUUGCUCUCGAGUACUCAUCCUCAACUGCUGUCAAGGUCACGAAUUCCACCGGCAAAUACCUCAUGACAGUUGAUCAGAUAUUGGCUCUUUACACUGAAGCUGCCAAGCGUGGAUGAGUCACUAUGAAGGAAUGUUCUGAAGGACCAUUUAAAUGCAAAGGUUGCACACCACUUCUGCCAUGCAAAAGAUUGAAGCAGAAGGUUCAACGGUGAGCUGAAACAGAUCACUACAGCACGACACCUUUCCAUACCACAUUCAUUAUUCCGUCAACAGCAAAAGUAUCCCAUAUCAUCAAGGUCGAACGUACUCUAGAUUUGAUGGACUUGUUUUUGACCCUCAAAUUUUUGAGUCGGCCUUAUACUCUGAAGGGCACCAGAAACCCCUCCAACACAGUUCAAGAAUAAGCCUGUGGAAAGUUACUUCUUCAAAAGCAAAAGUAUCUCAUAUCAUCUCUUAUCCAUUUGCUUCUCCUUAUCCUGGCAGUUGAAUGAGAGACAAGGAGAAGGAGAACAAUCAACCGGAAGCCGAAGUCAAACCUCUGAUCCUGGGUUGCUUACUUGGAAGUUUGACUGCUUACCUUGUCUGUCACCUCUUUCGGCAGAUCUCCUAGCUCGGCGACUUGGGGGACUCCUACUAUAGGGUUUGUAUCACACUUGACUAAGCCCGAAACUACAACUAAGCUUCAAGUGAAAUUGAUACAUUACCUUGUGCGUCAACAUCAGCUAAGUACACCAUUCCCGGAUGGAGGAAAGGUACUUCCAGAGAAGGGCAGAUGAAGAUCAGACCACACUUCGGUACUUAGAAGUUUCGUGAUUACUCAAGGGAUUGGAUCUUGCAAGUCCCCAACCGAGGAGUUUCCCUCACUCGGGAACUUAGGGGAGCACUGUUUGUACCAUACUUGACCAAUCCCGAAACUACCGAGCAUCGGCCAACGCUAUACUGUCAAGGACCCAGAAGAGUUCCCUCCGACCAGGAGGCCAAUCACUACUCGACACGUGUCAAGAUUAGAAGCCAAUCAGAGCGCAGCACGUGUCGACAUCAAGAACCAAUCACAACAUGACACAUGUCAAUGUGACAAAGCUACAAGUUUUUCUAUAAAUAGGGGUCAUUCCCCCACAAUAUUGCCUAAUGCCAUUUUGUGUUAAAUCAUUCACAAGAACUCACUAAAUUGAGAGCUUGAUCCUUUGUACUUGUGUAAGCCCUUCACUACUAAUAAGAACUCCUCUACUCCGUGGACGUAGCCAAUCUGGGUGAACCACGUACAUCCUGUGUUUGCUUCUCUGUCUCUAUUCAUUUACGUACUUAUCCUCACUAGUGACCGAAGCAACCAAGCGAAGGUCACAAAACCUGACACUUUCUGUUGUACCAAAGUCUUCGCUGAUUUUGUGCAUCAACAGUUAGAAUUAUCUCAGUAUCAAAGAAGUGAUUCUGUAUAAGCUGGAUGGAGGCAUAUACCAAUGAGAUUCUUUAGAGUUUCUUUACAGCAAUGCUUAUCUGUUAACUCAUUUUGUCGUCAGAUUCAUCGUGCCACCUAUUUCAAGUAAAUUUCUUGGGUCUAGUUGUACACCACUUUGUAUCUAGUAGUUUUUUCAUCUAUGUUGUAUGGUAAAGUUUCCUUGAAUUCUUGUCCAUUAAGAUAUUGAACGACUUGAUGAAAUGAAAUUACAAGACUAUCCACUGCAGUUAUAUUUAGCUCAUGCAUAGUUGCACGGAAAUUUUCAUGUACAAGUUGUGAUCUGUUUAUAUAUGGCAGGCCAUUAUUUGCAAGUAGCGUGCUUAGCAUUGUACAGAUUCUACUUGAUCAAACACGACAUGAUGAAAUACGUCUUUUAGGAUGCGAAACUCUUUUUGAGUUUGUAAAUAAUCAGGUGCGAGUCGUCGGGAUGUUCUUUCUCUUUCAGAUUGUCGUUUGUUUGUUUCUGUUUUUGGUGAUUGGGCUUAACUUUCUUUUGAAGCUGCAGGCUUUUCUCCUAUGGAAGUUUUUUUAUCUCAUGUAGCUGUUUCGAUAUUGCAGAAGGAUGGUACGUAUAUGUUUAACUUAGAUGGCAUGAUUCCAAAACUUUGUCUCUUAGCUCAAGAAACGAGGGAGGAUGGGAUGGAUAAGCGUUUGCGUUCUGCUGGGCUUCAAGUUCUUUCAUCAAUGGUAAUUCAUCCCCAUUUCAAUUUGUUUAUUACUUCAUGCUCUGAUACUUGUUUCUCAUAGGAUAUUCAAUUUAGUAUAAUGUAGUCUGAUAUUCAUAAUUUUCACAUUGUUACUUACACGUGAAAGCUUUAUUAGAAUUGUUAUAUGUCAGUGAGAAGGAUAACUAUUGACUCAUGAAGAGCGGCACCGGAUCUUUUGGGGAAUUAUAAUCUUGUAAGAGUGACAAAUUCUCUCAUAUGCACCCUCACAAGUGUGUUUUGUGUGCAGGUUUGGUUCAUGGGUGAAUUCUCUCAUAUUUCAUCAGAAUUCGAUAGUGUAAGUUUAUUUGGUACUAUAUGUCUAAUUCUUAUAUAAUUUGUUUUCACACUUUUUUCCAUUGCUAUUUUAUCUAACUAGAAAAAUUUGCUCAUUUAAGUUCAUAGAUUCGGACAGAUUUUAAUUAAGUAUCGUUUCAACUUGUAGCUGUUGGAAGAAAGGAAAAAACGCAUACGAAUCACCUUUUGAUAUCAACUAUUGUUUACAAAUUCUUGUUCUUUCUGUAUUUUUUUCAUGCCUGGCUUCUUCAUAAACUUCUAAUGGCAAAUUAUGGAAUAGUCCAAUUUCGUUCUUCAAGCUGCAAAUCAUUAGCUUCCAACAAUCUUCUAUUUUUCUUUUGUAAAUCAGGUUGUUUCAGUAGUCUUGGAAAAUCAUGGAGGUCCAAAGAAAAAGUCAGACAAACAAGACACCCAGACUGGGAGUUCCGAAGAAGUUUCAGCUUCACUAGAACCCGUGACAAGGAUUUCGUCCUGGAGGCUGUUAGUGAGUGACAGAGGCGAAGUCCUUGUGGCAGGGUAGUUUUUAUUGGCACAGUAUUGCGUAACUAUCAUUAUGUAUCAUUCUUGCUAUUUCAUUAUGUUAUAGCUAAUGUCUACAUUUCUUCUUGUUUUUGUUUGCAGGGACGACAUGAAUAACCCCAUAUUUUGGUCAAGGGUUUGCCUGCACAACAUUGCCAAGUUAGCCAAGGAAGCUACAACCGUGCGGCGUGUAUUAGAAUCUUUGUUCCGCUAUUUUGAUAAUGGAGAUCUCUGGUCUCCUAAACACGGGCUCGCACUGUCUGUCUUGAUGGAUAUGCAGAUAAUAAUUGAAAAUUAUGGUAUUUAAAUUUCUUCAAAUUGCUUUAGAACUUGUCUAUGGGAACCUGACUAGUCUUCUUUUGUGCUGAAAUUAGUUGCAAUCGUCCAACUGAUAUUUUGAUGACCUGUGAACCUUUUUCUCGCAGGGCAGAACAGGCACUUCAUAUUGUCCAUCUUAAUUAAGCAUCUUGAUCACAAGAAUGUUCUUAAAAACCCAAAUAUGCAGCUGGACAUUGUAGAUGUUGCCACCUCUCUUGCUCGAGAAGCAAAGGUUCAAUCAUCAGUUGCUAUAAUUGGUGCUCUGAGUGAUAUGAUGAGACACCUGCGGAAAAGUAUACAUUGCUCACUUGAUGAUUCAAAUUUGGGGGCCGAAGUAAUUGAAUGGAACCGAAAAUUUCAAGCAGCAGUGGAUGAGUGCCUUGUGCAGUUGAUACAUAAGGUGACUGUAACAUCCUUUACAUUUUUUUUAAAGAUGGAACAAGUAGUCUCACAAGGUUUUAUUGCUCGUAUAUUGUGCAGGUAGGAGAUGCAGGUCCUGUUCUUGAUAUGAUGGCCGUGAUGUUAGAAAACAUGACUAACAUUACCGUUAUGGCUAGAACCUUGAUUUCUACUGUUUACCGUACUGGUCAAAUUGUGGCAACAAUACCUAAUUUGACAUAUCAAAACAAGGCAAGAAUGCAUCAGCUAUAUCACUUCCUUCAAUCUACAGUCAUUAGUGCACAAACUUACCAAGUUUCCAUCUGAUUUUCUUUCUUUUCAUUCUAUGAUUUGAAUGUCUGAAUUUCUGUAGACAUUUCCUGAGGCAUUAUUUCAUCAGUUACUCGUAGCUAUGGUCUGUGUAGACCAUGAAACCAGGGUGGGCGCACACCGUAUAUUUUCUGUCGUGCUUGUUCCCUCAUCUGUUUGCCCUCGUCCAUGUGCUGCUACUCCCAUUACUACAGAGAAAAAUAAUAUUGGAAGGACUCUCUCAAGAACUGUAUCAGUAUUUUCUUCAUCAGCUGCCCUCUUUGAAAAACUAAACAAGGGAUCACACUCACAACAAAACAUUGGUCAGGAGCUGAAGGACAAAGUUGUAAUUCAGGAAGAAGCAAAAGUUCCUAAUGAGUCCAUGCUGAACAGAUUGAAGUCCAAAUUCAGUUCAAGAAGGCAUCCAUCAGCUACAAGUGACCCUGUAGGUAAUGAGGAUGCUUCAGUCAGUAAUCAUUCUGUGAUGAACCGGUUGAAGUCAACUUAUAGCCGAGCCUACAGUAUUAGAAGGAAUCCAUCAAAUACACCUUCUGCUGAUGAAAAAACUACUAGUAUUUCAGAUAAAGAAUCGGUAUGGUUUGUGGUUCUUCUAUCCUGUCAUAUAGCGACUACAUACUUUGAACACCAUAAUAUUGCUUGAUCAUUUUUCUUCUGACUAAUUUUGCAGACAAUGUCCUUAGGUUAAGCACUCGCCAGAUUACCCUUCUGCUUUCAUCAAUCUGGGCACAAUCCAUCUCUCCUUUAAAUACACCUGAGAACUAUGAAGCAAUUGCUAAUACCUACAGCCUUGUGCUGCUUUAUGCUCGGACCAAGGUACAACUUCCAUUUUUUCUUGCAUGUUAAUCGUUAAGGUCUACUACUUCCAUUCUUGUUUGUCCCCAAUUUUCACUUUCUUUGUUUGGAUUCACUAUGUCAUGUAGAACACAUCCGACGAGACCCUAAUCCGAAGUUUUCAGCUAGCCUUUUCCUUAAGGAGCAUUUCUCUUGGAGGAGGUAAGCCAUCGAGUCCAAUUUAUUUACAUAAUAAUUUUUCACUGCACUGCAACAUACAGUUUCUUUUAAGGUUUUAACCACAUAAAUGCAUUGCUCAUGUCGUAGAGAAAUGUCAAGAUAUAGAUUGUAUAAAAUUUGCUUGCUCAACAACUUAAGAUUUACGAAUUGUGUAGAAGUUAUUUCAUGUUUAAGGUUCAGAAAAGCAGCUCAAUUACUGGUACAUUAUUAACAGAUGAAUAAGCUGGAGAUUAGUUGCAAGCUUCCUAUAAGUAUAACUGUAGCAAUUUUUAAAUCUCGGUCUAAUUUCCUUUUGAAGUAUGAAAUUUUCAACUUUAGUUUGCGAAUAUAUUCGUUGCACUGAAAUGUAAUUGACGGCUGCAAACCAUUUUGGGUUGUAAUUUUUCUGAUGCCAUCUUUAACUAGGGGAUUUCAUUAUUGCAGGAUUACAGCCAUCAAGACGCAGAUCCCUCUUUACCUUGGCAACAUCGAUGAUCAUCUUCUCAGCUAAAGCCUACAAUGUGGUUGCUCUUGCCCCUUGUGCUAAAGCAGCACUUACAAAUGAAACAGUACGUGCAACAGAGUUUCCAGACGACAUUUCCAUUGAAUGUUGUUUGUGAACCUUUUAACUUAUUUCUACUUUGACUUGAGGUUUUUGAAGUUAACCUAGCUCAAUACUAACGCAUAUGCUUUGAUGACGUGCUGUCAGGUUGAUCCAUUUCUACGACUGGUUGACGAUCACAAGUUGCAAGCUGUCAUUUCUGGACCUGACCAAGUAAGGAAAGUUUAUGGAUCAAAAGAAGAUGAUGAGAAUGCUUUAAGGUCACUUUCCGCCAUAGAAAAAUCUGAGAACCAAUCGAAGGAAUCAUUUGCUACCAUGAUAGUGCAGACGCUUAGAAAUUCACCAGAGGUAUGUUUUCCUAUCACAUUCUGAUUAUUGGAACUAUAUCUUUGUGAUUCUGAUUAUUUCGGUGUUUUUAUUACAGGAUUCAUCAAUUAUAAAACAGCAGUUGCUUAAUGAUUUUAUGCCUGAUGAUGCAUGUCCUUUGGGAGCUCCGUUGAGCAUGGAAACACCAAUAGAGAUCGACCAAGUUGGCGUACAAGAUGACGGAGAACCUGAUAAGGUAAUUUACUCGAACAACUUCCUUAUUUUUUUGUAAGGUCCAAACAAUUAAGCUUAAGCGUACAAAAUGAUUCUAUUGUGCAGGCUGAGCCCCCAUUAUUCACAAUUGAAGAUGAUGUGUUAGCCAAUGCAUCUGAAAAUCAAACCGACCCAGACACAAAAGUUGCCGUGGAAAGUCUAAGCUUAAUAAGCAUUGACGAGCUUUUAAAUUCGGUAAGUGAGGUCACUCAUAAACUGUUUCUGGUUUUUGACCUUUGUAGAAAUCGGACAGAAAAUACGUAAAUAAAUGGACAUUACAUCAAGUUGAAAAUAGUGCUAAUUAAGGAAGUGAUUGGUGUGUAGGUUUCGGAGACAACUCAUCAAGUUGGACGAUUAUCAGUGUCAGUUGCGACAAACAUGCCUUACAUGGAAAUGGCUGGCCAGUGUGAGGCCCUUCAAAUGGGGAAGCAGCAGAAGUUGUCGACGUUUAUAGUUGCUCAACAGAGACAAGAAAGUUUGAUUAGAUUUUCUAAUGAUUGCAACCAGCAGGAAAAGGAAACCCCCUCUCUUCUUCCGUUGGGCGCUCCUACGGUAUUUCCUUUCCUUCAAUCAUAAUCCUGACAUCUAAAAUUUUCCACUAAUUUACCAUCUGUUUUCACAUUUCUUCUGUUAAAUAUUAUUGCACUUUAUGCGCAUUGUGUUUUUAGCAUAUUCUGAGUUUCCGAAAACCAUUUGGGACUGCAGAGUGGAAAUCCAUUCCUUGAAUCAAAUGCCGUUUCACUCAACCAAUCUGUUGGCAACGGCUCUUCGAUGCUUUGCGCAACUGAGUAUCAGUACUAUCCACACUUUCAGCUACCGGCAUCAAGCCCCUACGAUAACUUUUUAAAGGCUGCUGGCUGUUGAUCUGUGUGGAGGAAGUUUGGUAGCCCUUGUAGCACGUAAGAAAUCAAGUGUCAGCAGCUUUGGAGCGAGCGGCAGUUGUGUCUGCAACAACUUUGUGUUGUCCCAGAUUCAACCUUGUUUUCUGUUCAUGUCUCUACUGACUGCCUCCAUUCAUUUAUUCAUCAAUUGUUGAUUUGGGAGGUUGAUGUUAUGUAUCUUUUGGGCACUCCCUCCCUUUACAUGUUUUGAUAUUGUAAAGUAAGAGUUUGCUCACCCGCACAUUUUUUGUCUCAACCGUUUACUCGUGAAAAAAAAUGUGCAGAGAUAAUUUAAUGUAAAUUAAAAAUGUGAAUAGGUGACUUUCAUUUCAUAAACACUGGUUUUCAUACUGUCAUUGUGAAGUGAAAGCAUGUUAAUUGGUGUAUAAAAUUACUUAAUUUCGGGUAGAAGAGGAAUCACUGUAAAGACAACAGUCUACUUAACUUUUUUCUUAUACGGUUGUUGGGUUAUCUUAAUUUUUUAGAGUUUAAGUACGAAUAAUUUUUUUAAGGGGUAGUUUGAAAUUGGUCAUAAUCUUUAAAACAUUCUAAAUAAUUAUCUAAUGUUUUGAAGAAUUACUACUCAUCUAGGUCACCAACGUUAAGUGACGAUAUAAACAAUUACCAAAUGUGGUUUUUAAGUGACGAUAUAAACAAUUACCAAAUGUGGUUUUCAUUAGCACGUCAUUUUAUGACGCUCUAGAUACCCAAAUGGGCAUCUUUUAGCCAAGUUGAACCCUAAAAUUACUUGGCUAAAGGGGGUUAAUUUGAUAAUUUAGAGCUCUAUAUAUGAAUGAGAGUGAAAUCAUGUUUAUGUACUAGUCAUUCUAUUACUUAACGAUAGCGACCUAAUAAUUAUCUAAUUUUCAAAACGUUAGAAAGUUGUUUGAAGUACUUUUAAAUGUUGAGAUCAAUUUAAAACCACAGAUAAUACUUGCGUUGUAUACAUUCUAUAAUCAAAACUAUCUUCAUUUGAAGAUUAUUCCUACAAAAAAAAAAUAUUCGAAUUGAAUAUCUUUUAGUUAUCCAAAUGUAUCAAAUAAAUGGACGAUUAUCAUGAAUAUGUUGCUUAAUAUACUCAACAUUGAUUUAUUCCAUCCAUUUAGAUGCAUAAAUGAUCUAAGAUUUGAAAUGAUUUUUUAUAAGAAUGAUCUUUUAAUAAAAAUUAAGAAAUUAAACGAUUUCAAUUAUUUGCUUUUAUACUAACAACCGAUUUGGAAAUUGUAUUUUGAUUAGAAAUUUGCUUGUAUACUAACCUCGCUCUGGACUUGUGCAAUCUGUACACUGAUUUGGUAGGAAAAUCCAAUAAUAACCUCCAGACAUCGCGAUUUGUUAUUUAUGUUUUGUGAUUUGAUAAAGUCCACUCUUUGUUGAUAGAAGUCUAGGAAACUAGUUUUAUAAUUUAUUCUGUUAACUGCUAAGUUUUGGAAAUUAAUCUGUCGAUCGGCUUCUAAACUAUAAAUUAGUGCAUACUUAACCAUUGUAAGAGCACAAAAAAAUUGAGCGUGUCUUAUCACAACCUUUUGUCGUAGCAGAAGUAUUUACCGGAACAAUCAUCAUCAAUUUAUUCAAUCUACAACAAACAAAUCAAUACGUCAAAGCUUCCAAUUGCAUCCACUGGCAAUCAAAAGAUUCAAAAGCAAUGAGGAAAUUAGUCCAUCGGCUGCCAACUUGGUCCAUGACGUUCUUCAUGCCCAGCAAUUCUUCCAGCACCGGCACGUACUCGUCAGCAACAUAAAUCUCGAUACAAGUCUCCAUACACAGAACUUUGAAAGCGGGGGAAGGCCUAGAAGAAUAGCAGUCCUUCUCGGCGCAACUGGUGUCGAAGACGAUUUUCUCAACAAAGGAUACGGAGGAGGGAUGAGUGUGGAGGUGAGGGACUUGGAGCUGAGAAAGGGUUUGGGAUAUGCCGAUCACCAUGUUGUCGUAGCGGACUAGAACUGUGGCUGCGUUCACAUCUACGCUCCAAUUUUCUUCUUCGAACAAUAUAUUGCCAUCGUGGUGAUCCAUACGGGGCCGUUUGAUGACGACCUUGAUGGUGAUUAAGAACAUGGGACAUGGCAACUCGGUUUCAGGUACGAAAACACCUCUUAGACGUGUGUUGCAGUAAGUUUCACCCACCACUUCCCAACGUUCACUGGCCACGGCACCAGCGCCCAUGACAAACUUCGAUCGCGAAAUCGGGAAUUAACUCGGAACAGAAAACUAAAGUGGAAAGUUGAAGAAGAAGAUUAGAGCUUGUUGUUGAUUAUUGACUCAAACAUGUAGUCAAAGUCCAAAUCUUUGGGCUACUUUUGUGGUCAAAAUUGUUGGAUGGCAUGCUACAUGUGGGAAACCAAAAUUGGAUGCACUUAUGCCUAAUUCUUUUUGACUUGAUGUUAGGCCUUUGGCCAUUGAUGUCUUUGAGAAGCUUUUUCUUUGGCUAUAAAAGGAGAGCAAGGUGUAGCUCAUAAGCAUGGAGAAGUAGAGAAGAACAAGGAAGAGAGAAAAAUAGCAAGAAGCCAUUUGGCAUAGAGAAGAAUUUUCUCAAAUUGUCUUGCUUUGUAUUUUUUUGGUUUUCUCUUCCUAUUGUAAGUGUGAGAGCUUGGGGUUAUUUGGGUCUUUGGGAAAUUGAGUGAUAAACACUAUUGUAUGUUCUCAUUGAUUAUAGUGGAAUACUCCGUCGUCUCCAAACUGGAUGUAGGCAUUGCCGAACCAGUAUAAAUCUUGGUGUUCUUGUUGGUGUUGUUUUUAUUCUGUUCUGUCUUACUAUUCACUUACAGUCGUACGCCGCUUCCGCACAACACUUGUGUGCUAGUUCGGUGCAAGAAUUGGUAUUAUAUAGAAGGGUUUCCUUACGUGGGGGUUGGGGUUUCCAAAUUGCUCUGGGAAAUUCUUCAUUCGCAAGAAAAAUAUUCGACCGUUGGCAGAAUUUUUUUAUUAAUUCAAAUCCUUCCCGCAUUUAUUAAUUUUUUGGUUGGAAAAUCCCUCCGUGUUUCGGGAAAAGAAAACGUGCUCAUUGAUGAAUUUUUUAUUAUUUUUUUUAACGAGGCAAUUUUUUUUGUCGUGGUCUAUUUGGGGGUGAAAUGAUGCUUUCAAUUUCACUCUCGUGAUGAAAAAAAUUGUUAAUUAAGCCCUUGUGGCGAGAUUUGAUAGCAAUUGAGAUCCAAAUCCAAACUUUCGUUAGUUUUCCAUAAAAUAAACUCAUGCGACUAUCACGUGGAUGUGUCAAAUUCGUUAUUUCACUCCAAAUUGUAUAUUAUGUCAUGGACAUCUAGUUUAACUGAAAUUGACGUGGUUUUACAGGUUUAGUUUCACCUUGCGACGACGUUCAAGCUUCUUUUUUGGGAAAUACAAUUUCAGUUAAAACCUAAGUUAUACUAGAUCCACAUGGCAUACGUGUUGUGCCUUGGCCCGUUCAUUAGUGCGGAAACGAGAUUCAGAUUACAACCUCACCAAAAUCACACUCAGUUGAACAGAAUAAAUUACAAGAAAUAAAGACACCGAGAAAUUUAUGAGGUUCGGCAAAAACCUGCCUACGUCCCCGGAAAUAUAUUGCUCUUCACUAUGAGAAUAACAGUACAAGUACACAUGAGUUAAAUCAACAUAACCCAAUCCCGAAUCCCUUGCACACCCACUCAUAGAAUUUUCCCAAGAGCAUCACUCUACCCCAAGAGUUCUUUCACUAGAAUAUUUUUCACUCUAGCUCUCUUGAUUUUCUCUCAACCCAUGUUCAACCUUUCCCAUGGGAGAGUUGAAUGCUCUCCCCCUUUGGAUGCUCUCUGAUGCCUUCUCAGGAGAGAGCCGAAUUCUCUCUCUCACACCCUUUGUGUAUGAAAAAUGCCUUCACUUAUAGACAUGCACCAUCAAUUAUGUCAACAACCAAAACAUGAUUCCACAAAACAUGCUUCCACAAAACAUGAUUCCACAAAACAUGCUUCCACAAAACAUGCUUCCAAAGUCCACAAAGUUGAGAGGAAAUGGUUGCCAACUCAUAAUUAUAUGAGCCAAACACAACAAUACGAAGUAAUUUGGAUUGAAAUGACGAAUUUUGCCCCUCCACGUGAAAGUCAUGUGAGUUUGUUUAAUGAAAGACUAAUGGAAGUUUGAGUUUGGACCUCAAUUGCUAACAGACUUCACUACAAUGAUUUAAUUAACAACUUUUUCACUACGAGGUGACAUUAAAAGCGGCGUGUCACUGCAGAGACCAUGAAAGUUUUUGACCAUUUUAUUAUUUAAAAAGAAAAAACCGUUUCCUAUUUUAUUAGUGCUCUACUUACUACCGUCUCCUUAGUCCAAAUAACAUUGUUUGUUCAACAAAAAAAAAUAUUAUAAAUUCAUAAUAAGGAAAACUAAUCAAAAGGGUUUGAAAAUUUUAACUUUUAACAAAAAACCACAUUGAAAGUUUAUUUAAUGGUUAGUACAAAUCCCAUUUUUAUAUCAACCCAAAUACAAUAGCCCAGACUAAAUAACAUAGUGAUUUGUCAAUUUUACCCCUAACGGAUGUGGUUAACCUAAUUUAACUAUUCUGUUAGAGUAGUCAGUUUGGGGUUAGCCAAACCUAUAAACUAAUUGAAUUUUAAUUUUUUGCAUACCAGUUUCAAAGAGAUUUUCAAUUUUUUAUGAAAAUGAACUAAAACACCAUAUUUGACACACCCCAUCCCGAAGGAGGGCAUGCUGGCCGUCACGUGAGAGUGACGUAACCAUUUGCACAGUACGGAAGCUUUAAUUAUACAGUUUAUAAGUUGAUACACCCGAAGGUGAGUCCUAAUUUUGUCCAAUCUGUCAGAACACCGUAGAAUUCCUCGUAGUCACCACACCUCAGCAAUCUUGAACCUGGAGGGGCGCAAAACCAAAAUUGAGUGGGUCAGUAAAACAAAUCUUUUCAAAUCCAACUUUUCUCAAUACAUUGUAACCCUUCUCCGUAAAACUUGUAUACUUUCCCAGAAAUGUAAAAUAUAAAUAUACAUAUAUAAUCUCAAAACUUCAAUUCACUUUUUCAACAUUUUUCAUAUCAGUUAUGCCAUGCCAUGUCUAAAUUCAACAGUAUAAUAUGAAUGCAUCAACAUAAAUCAGGUGAAAGAAAAUAAUCAACCGGAGACCCUACAAUGGUCCUGUACGGUUGAAUCUAGAGCUCAAAAUAUCAUCUAACCGGAGUCACCAACUGUGACCUGUACGGCCAUGUCGGAGUCACCUAGUAUGACCUGUACGGCACUACACUGCACAUAAGUCGGAAUUACCUAAUGUAAUCUGUAUGACUUAAUGGUGUAAUAAUAUGCUCUAGUGCUUUUCUCAUAAAUCAUCUGUGCACAUAAUCUAAGGUCACCUACCAGUCGGAACCCCUCUAAUGGUCUAUACGAUUGGCAUGUCGGAACCACCCCCGGUGGUCUGUACGACUAGCAUCUACUUGGAUCCAAGGUGAGCAUGCGAUGCGGUGAAUAAUAAUAAGCACUAAUACCAAGGUGCAGGUUAUGAGCUCAAUAUAUCUCAACAUCAUCAUAGCAGUAAUAUACUCACCUGAUACUCACCUGUGCGUCCACAGCACCAAUUCAUACAUGCAUCAUAUCUCAAUUCAUACUUUUCAUAUCAUUUCAUGCAUGGCAUUUCGAUUCACAUUUCUAUAUACUUUUCACAUACUUCUAUGCAUGGUAUUUCAACUAAUAUAUCUCAUAUACUUUUAUACAUUUUCAUUUAAAGCAUAAUUUCAUGCAUUUUCAAUUUAUGGGAAAACGGCAAGUAUAUAUGUAUACGGAAAACAAAACUGCCCACUCACCUGGAGUUCGCCCUACAACUCCCUAGCACAAUACGCCAAGGCGUCAUGACGAUCGGCGCCUAAAACAAUAAUCAAUUCCAACCUUAGAAUUCAUAUCGAUAGAAUAUAUAACUUAUAUAAAAUACGUCACUACGUAGUUCGAUCCGGAAGAUCCACCACUCGGAUUUUAAAUCCAUAACUUCCAGAGGUCCACAAUAUAUCUCUAGGAUAACCUCCUAAAAUUUCAUUACCAUCCAACGGUCGGAUCUCCGUCAAUUAACAAAACUAGGUGACGGUUAACAUUCUAUAUUAUGGACUUACAACUCCAAUUUCGGAAGAUCCGCAAAUCGGAUUCCCAAUCUGUAAGUUCCUAUAAUCCUCAAAUAUUACGUAUUACAACGUAUCAAAGUUUGGUGACGAUCCAACGGUCGGAUCAUUAAUUCACAUUUUCACCUAAUGCGAAAACUAUAAAACGUUAUUCGAACACCUAACCAACAAUCCUUAAUAACUUUCUCAUACGGUGCUCAAAUUGGGUAUAUGAAUAUACCACAGUGAUCUACUUGACGUCACGGACGUCGACAUAUUUUUAAAAUAAUUUUUUUACUGUAGCACGCGCUCCCACGCGCCAAGGAAGGAACGGACCUACGCGCCCCCACGCGCACCUUCUUCUUCCUUGGGUCGCCGGACUGGUUUUUCCGGCGGCCGUUUUUCAAAUUGCCAUAACUUUGUAAUUUGUCAACGAAAUCAAGUGAUUCAAAAACGAAAGUUGUAGCCCUUGAAGAGACAAAGAGAAUGGUACCUUGAACAACACCUAGUUCGCCGUGGUUUGGCCGGAAACUGCCUCGAAAGCCUCGGAGGUCGCCGGAAACUGGGUAUUUUUCAAAUGAGUAUAACUUCUUCAAUACUCAACUAAAUUGAGUGAAACAAAAAGGAAAGUUGUAGUACUUGACGAGACGAAGAGAUUGAUACCUAUCUCGACUCCUAACUCGCCGGAUAUUCGCCGGAAAAUGCCUCGAAAGCUCCGGCCAAACUUUGAACUUGUCGAUCUCCGUGUUCUUACGUCCAAAAACUUCCAACGAAGCACUCCGAGCUUCCUUGGGACCUCACUAAGCUCGCUGUGAUCUUGUUUUAGCCUAAAUCGUAACCAUUUAAAAGAUCAUGAACAAUACAUAAACACGGGACCUUAAAAACUAGGGUUUUCCGAAGCAAAACUUACCUGAAAUGGAUACCAUCGUGAUCGUGAAGUCUUCAGGGUUCCAAUGGUGGUCUUAGAUUCGUCGUUGGUAUAGAUUUAGGGUGGUUUUGUGGUGGUCCGUGUGAGUUCGAAGGAGAGGGAGAGAGAACUGAGAGUCUCGUGAGGGAGGAGAGAGAGAGAGACAAUGUUACGGGUUAUGGGGAGGGUUUUGAGGUGUGGGGAUCCCACAUGUCCAACCCAAUUCCAAUUUCAUAAGUUUCAACAUAAAAAUCCAACUUAAGCCUAGUUUAAGUUCCUAAAACCAAAUAACUUAGGAACUUUAAGUAAAACCAAUUGUUAAAUUUUCGCCCCUUAGUCCCGUUUAAGGGCAUUUUCGUAUUUUCACGUCCUCGGAAUUAAAAUUCUGGGACGGGCUGUGACAAUAUUGAUUCUGAAUCCAUACUGUUUAUCAAACAGAAACAAAAAAACUACACUAUUUAUCAAACUAUACUAUUUGUUGAAUGUAUAAAUUAUUAACAGAGAAUCACACUAGUUCGUGUAAUAACGUAAUAUAUGUUUAUACUCGUUCGUGAAUGCAUCCCAUAUUUUACUAUUUCCUUACAUUUCAAUUCUAUUUACAAAUGAAGAAAAUUGUAAACUAUUUCGUAAACACUGGUUAUUAAACUUAAAAAUUGUGAACUAUUUUGUAAACACUGUCUAUUAAACCAAAACACCGCUGGAAUAGAAUGUUCAUUAUAUUUAAAUUAUUUAAGCAAAUAAACCAACAUAUGAGGGCAAGAAAAUACUAUUUAAAGGUUAUAAGAAAACGAGCAGUUAUCAAAGUGAAGUAAAAAUAUACCAUUUUGCAGAACAUUGCUCAUUCAAUGAAUUCGAAGCAUGCAAACUUACAUAUUACUGUAAAAUCACAGAAAAUAUCAGAAAUUUUGUGGUACGUACCUUUGUUUCUUCUAUGUUGCUUUUAUUUCCCAAUUUUUUUGUGUGUUUUCGUCUGGAUGUAAAUCAUAACUCUGAACCAGAAACAUAAUUCAUUUUUUAGAAUCUCAAACAUGCAAAUGUACAUAUUUAGUAAAUUAAAGUAAGAAAUCAUCAAGAAUAUCAGAAAUUAUAGGUUCGUACCUGUGUUUGUCCAAUUUCGACUUUGCAAACAUACAGUUCGAAUGUUUUUAGUUUUUCAUCUUCAAAUGGAGUUUUUGGGUUGAGAAAUUCCGGAUUUGAUGUGUAGAUUAUUGUUUGAAAACUUGAAUCGAACUUGAAAAUGCUUUGAGAUCUUGACGUUUCGAGCAAUGGAGGUUUCGAUUUUUUGGUACGGUGUGAAGGGGUUGGUAAACAUUAAUGGCGUUGCGAGGGAUGAUGAAUUUUAGUAACUGCAACUUUCGCUAACGGGCUUGGGUUAGGCUCCGUUAGGGGCAAUUUUGGAAUAUUAAUUGUUAUGCGGUUUGGGCUUUUUGGUGAGCCCGUGUGUUUUAGUUUUUGUAGGGCUUAGAAAAAAUGUUUUGUGUCCUUAUGAUUAAAAUUUAAGCUUUUUUUAUUAAAUAAUAGUUUAUGGUGGUUUUCCAUUAAAUAAAAGUUAACCCAAUUCAUUUUUAUUAAAGCUCUAUUUAUAAUAUUUUUUUUACAGAAAUUAGAUGGAAAUAUCCUUAAUUGACUAACGUAGAUAAAAACAAGGAUCAAAUUGGUCAAAUUAAAAACACAUGAACUAAAUUGAUCCAAUAAUUAAAACACAAGGACCAUUUUAUAUUUAAACCAAAAGAGUAAUAACAAAAUCAAAUUUUAAGGUCAUUCUAUUCUGAUAAGAACGACUUUUGCGGUUGAAGUUCGUAUGAAAAAAAGGGGUAACUAAACAUUAAAAUUUGAGACUAAUACGUUUCGAAAAGACCGAACGUGUGCAACGUCUAAGAAACGCCACACGUGCGGUGCAUUAGGAAUGCGAUUCAGGUGGCCAGAAAAAAUCCCAAAUUUACGACUUUACCUCACACUGCUUCUCUCCAUUAAGCAGCUCUCUCCUCCUCACCACGACAGAAGGCAGACCAAAGAACAUGGAAACACACGAGGACGAGAUCGACAACCACGACACCACCGCUUCCUGGACCUCCGCCACAACCUGGACCGUCGCAGGCGGUUCCCUCACGAAUUGCGUCUCAUUCGAAUCCUCUUUCUCUCCGAUCGAUGACGAGACUCCGAAAUCCACCCCUGCAUCCUCUCUUAUCCUGCACCCUCCAUCACCCGAUUCGGGCCCUUGCGAGAUCACCGGUAUGUUCCACAACUUGUUUUCUCUGAAAACUUUACAUUUGGGCCCCAAAUUUAUUGAAUUUGAGCCUUAACCCCCUGAUUGUAUGAAUCCUUGUCCCUUUAUAUUAUUAUUGUAGGUUAGGAGCUUGAAUAGUGCUAUUAAGAGUUUGAUUAAUAAUUUCUGGGACCAAAGUGGAUUUUCAAUUAGGAUUAGGAUUGCCUAAUUAUUAGAACCACGAAGAUGAAACGAAGCUAAUUAGAGGGCCAAUCUUGUACUCGAAAAAGAAGAUAAAAGCAGGAUUUUGCAGUGUAGUAUGAGUUCAACUAGAUAAUAUUUGCGAAAAGCGGCAUUUGGUUGCUAGAAGUGGAAGUAAUAUCUGUUGGAGUACAAAAUUUACCAAGUGGGGUCGGCUGUAUGAACCACUGCGCAAUUUACUUAGUACAUGCUAUUGUAAUCAAUAAACACCCCGUAUAAAAUGCAUCAAAGACUCUUUAGUAAUGAAAAAAGAAUAAACAAAUGGUUGAAGUAUGAGAGAAACAACUUACUUUUAUAGUCUGAUUGCAAAUGACCAACAAUGUUUUCCACUGCAGUUAAUUUUACACAAAAACAUGAGGUCCAGCAGGUUUAUGUUCGAAGUACUGCCCGAGUCUAUGAGAUAUACUAUGCACCCGAUAUACAGAGUGGCAAUGAAUAUCUCUGCACUGUUCGCUGUGGCAUUGCUGCCCGAGAUGAAGAAGUGCUUCACACGGGUGACAAUGAAGAUGUUCGUUCUGCAAAUUCAAAUGGGUCGCUGAAGGACCCAUCCGAAGAUAAGUCAAGAAAUGGAAAUAGUCUGAACAGCAGUGAAGAUGACUGGGUUGAAGUGAAAGUCUCAGAUAGUAAUGUGCUUGAUAACAAAAUCAAUUCGUUGCAAUCGAAUUUGGGAUCUGCACAGGUAUGUUGUUUUUCUCCAUCGAACCCCCUCCCACUUUGUUUUUCUUCUGUUUCUUUUUUUUCCUGUCUAGUCAAUUUCUUUAUAUGGUGCUCCUUUUGCUUGUGCCCACAUUUAAUUAUGUUUUUGGCCAUCAUCCCUUUACGAAGAAACACUAAGACACAAGUUUGAAAAUUGAGAAGCCUGUGUUCUGGAGUCUGGACCCUGUGUGCGCCAUGGUGGUUGAGAGGACAAAAAAUUUGUAUUUAUGAGUGCAAUUUCCUUUGCAUUGUUCUUUGGCCAAUCUCUUUUGCACUUUUCCAAGUUAAUAACAUAUCAUUACUGGUUCAACGCUUCUUCAGAUACUUCUUGCAAUUGUUAGUGCCCCUUCUGUGCUCGUAUUUGCGAGGAGAGGGGGAAGGGGAGGAGAGAGAGAGUUUUGGUGAUAAUGGGCUGGGUAGUCUAAACGUGAGGGCACUAAUCUAUAUUGAUUAUUAUCUUUGCUGAUCAAGUUCUUGUGUGUGUAUCAGGAUUUUUAUGAAGCUACAGCACAGAUUAGUGAUGCAAGUCCUUGUGUAUCCCUCACACUUCGUCUACUGUCGCUUGAGAGGAAAGAUUGUGUAUGUGUUGGUGAGGUGUAUGUAUUUGCUGAUCCUGUUGAUACAUCUGAUUCAGAAAACCAAGUUAAUACUGUGGAAAAUUCGGUUGGGAGUUCUCUCAUGGCCAUGCUUGUGCCUACUCUUUUACAAUUUUCUAAAACAAGGGGUGCUAACGGAACACAAGACAAGCCAAUUUCUGAUACAUGGGGAAAACAGAACUCUCUAGUGAUUGGGUCAAAAGAAACUGAUUCUACCAGUGUGACAACUAAGAUUCAGGAGCAAGGAAAAGCCAGUAUACCUGAUCACCAAGAACAAGAAGUAAAGGUUCCAGAUGUUAAUAGGGCUACUACUAGUACUGCUCAGUUAUGUAUCCCGUCACAAGUUGAAAGCUCUGUCAACCAGCUGUAUUCUCGAAUGGGCAGAAUAGAGGAUCUAUUUUUAAGGUUUGAAGAAAAGAUGCUAAAACCAAUGAGCAGCAUUGAGGCAAGGCUUGAAAGGGUAGAGCAGCAACUUGAAGUACUGGUAAACAAAUCGCAGAAUUCUGGAUUGCCAACAUGCUCAAGAUUCUAUGCUUCUUCUUUCUCGUGCAAUGAGUCUGAGUCUAACUCUUUCUAUAAUAGUGGAAAUGAUUAUCCCCGUUGUGAGGCAUUUGAAUCAGGUAAGAAGGACAUUCAAUCAGAUGCACCCUUGACUGCACCUAAUGACAUGUCUGCUUCAGUAUAUUCUACUCAUUUGCUUCCAAGUCUGGUAGUAACUGCUCCUGAAUUUUCAAACGGUGAUGAUGACGAUGAGGAGGACGAAGAAGAUCAUACAUCAGAUGUAGUGAUAGGUUCAUCAGAAAAACCAAGGCCUGCUUUGACAAUUGAUGAUGCUUUAGCAUCUGCACUAGCUGGAUUCAUGUCUUUGACUUCAACCCAACCAGAGAAACAUGCUCAAACUCUUUCGGUUAAAGCUCCUGAUUUUUUAAAUGAAGAAGAUGGUAGCAUUGAGAGAAAAGAAUCAACAAGAGUGGAACAUGAAGCAGACACUGAUUCUUCCAUGUGCCUUGGUGAAACUGGUGUGACAGAGAACAUAAAAGGUUCACUUGCUGAUUUGACGAAAAAUUCUUCAGAGGGUGAGGGGAAUGUAAUAAAAUCACCUAAUGAUGAGGAAACUGAUAAAACACUCUUAGUCGAUGGACUGGACCAGCAUUAUGAGGGUGGAGAAGGAGGAAAACUUGAUGAUGACAAGAGCAUUGACAAUGCAGUUGAUCCAGCCAAUGGUGGCAUGUCUAGAACUGAUUUUUGUCAGAUAACAGAAGAUAUUGAAAAUGAAGACAUCAGCACUGAGAUACGCAACAUUCUGGACCCUGACAACGCUGAUGUUCGAACCAGUUGCCCCAACAUCAGACUGAUGAUGGAUAUGAUAACACGCAGGAAGAUGCUAAUACAGAUUCUGAUUUAACGCCUCCAAAGGAAGUGACAGAAGAGAAAUCCGACAAAGAUGCUUUGAAGAAUAUCCUCGAUUUUUCACAUGCUGCUUCUGUGGUGGAUUUUGAUAUUCCAGUUCUGGAUGUGAAAUUCACUUCUCAGGAUAGCUGCAAUAAUGGCUAUUUUUCUCUCGAAGCCCUUUUAACCGAGUUGCCAGAAUCAGUGACCGAAGCUCCUUCGGUAAAGAAAAGUGACGAGGUGCUCCCAGUUGGCUCUGACGGACAUGACUUAAUUUUGGUGGAGGACAGGGAGCCAGUUGGUCCCGCCUCUGAGGGUAAUUUUUCUGUGGAUAUGGAUUUCUAUAGUAUCGGAGAACCUUUGAGCUUGUGGGGUGACCAGACAUGCAAUAGCCAUGAGACAUUUGCAGCAAGUCUCAUUUGAUAGUGCAUAAGUUUGUUCACAACUUUGUUGCUAUGUACAUAUAUUUGAUUUGAGCUAGACGUAAUGUACUGAUUGUUUCUUUUCUCCUCUCCUUCAUUACUCACAAACCAAAGCUGAGAGGCACAUUUGGACGGGUGGGCAAGGUGCGAUUGGUUCGGAUUAGGAUUCAAACCGCGGACCGCGGACCGGGGUUGGGAUAGUUUCGGUUUAUGCAUCAAACUAGUAGAAUAAGCGUACCAAAUGCAUUAUGCAUCUAUCUAGUCAUAAGUGGUUUGGUUUGAUUUGGUUUGUUCGGUUUUCUUCUUUUAGUAAUUAGGAAAAAUGGAGAGAAAAAUGACAUCAAAUUCAAAUGGCAUCUAAAGAGCUUUAAAUAAUACAAAUAAAUCUUAAGCGGACCUUUUCAACACUCAUUUUUGUUUUAUAACGUUGCUUGAGAACCGUCUAAUUUUUACAUUACUCUUUGAAGAUCAACUAUACAAAAAUUCAACCAAAUUAGAAAAUAUUUAACUGUUUGAUUGAUGUUAUCAAAAUUUCAGUUAGAUUUAAAUAAUGACCGGUAUUAAAUAGGCGCACACGUUUUACCCGUAUUGAUUAAGUCAUAUGACUUUGUUAGACCUAUCUUCAAUCCUUAUUGAACUUGGCAAAGAACAUGUUUUGCCAACUCAUAAUGGCAAAUGGUGCAUUAAUUUGACUGCACUCGAAUUCAAACUCUCUUUAACUUGUUUAAUCUAAUUUAUAGCAAUAUUAACGCUUGUAAUAAUAUUUUUUUUUAAUAUGUGUCAUGAUCCAAAUGUGCCUGUCCCAUGUGUACACCUUCCCUUCCAUCAGAUCCCAAAAAUUAAAAAUAGAAAACGAAAAAAAAAAAAUGGAAUAAAGGAGAAAGGGUAGCAUAUUAGCAAUAUUUCCUUCCACAAUUUUCUGAAAUUUGAAAAUACACAGCGGUCAGUUGGCCGCUUGUGGAGAGGUAAAGUGGAGUACUUGUCUGUUGAACUUUAACACUGAGAGCGUAUCUACAGUUCAACUGCUCGGCUAAAACCCUUUUUGUUUCUUGAAAUUCUAGGGUUAGGGUUUUUGGGGGAAAGACCAGAAUGGAGGCUGCCGUGGUCGACGUCGGCUCCAAGCUCCUCAAAGCGGGAUCCGCCAUUCCCGAUCAAGCUCCUUCCAUGGUAAUUGUCAAACCGUAUGCUCCACUUUCUUGGUCUCGUUUCGUAUAUUCUGUUUGGUUGCUCAGAAAAUGCUUUAGGUUUUUUUUGGGAAAGAUGGAAAUUGCCAAAUGUGUGAAAGUUCUUUUGGGAAAGAUGGAAAAUUCCAAAUAUGUGAAGGUUUGGGCUUGUUUGUUGGUUUCCUAUUGCCAGCUAGGAUUUGUUUUGAUUUCUUAAAGUCGGAAUUCUAAUUGGGAAAUGUACUAGCAAUGGCUUGGGGGUUGGGGGGAGGGGGUAGAAUCUGUUUGGUUUCUGGGAAAGUUGUGAGAAAGAGAAGGAAAAUUGUAGUUUUUUUGUAGCUCCAAUCAAUAUUACAGCAGAAUAAUGACUUCAUAUGUGAGGGUCUCUGUUUCUUUUGCAUCCGUGGCAUGGAUAUCCUCUUGUUGUUGCUCAUCAGUUGUUAGGAGAAAAGAAUGCGAUUUUUCUCACGGUUAUCCUCUUGGGGGAAAUGAAACUUUGUAUGGUUGUGUUAGGGUGAGUUGAGUAGACGACUGUGUAACUCAAGUUUGAGCUCUGAAGACUAUCGUCAUGCAUAUGCACCCGAUUGUUAAAAUAACCCUUUUUGAUAUUGGUAUGAUGGGAAUGUUAAUAUAUCUCAACUUUCCAAACUACAUAUUCAAAAACUGAAGUUGGCAUGGUAAUUGUGGAUUGUCACAUUUCCAAUUGCUUCUUACUUUUCAUUUCCCUCCCUCCCAACAAUCUCCUCUUAUCACAUGUAUAUAUCCCUCCUCCUAUCUUACUUUCAAGUUUUUAACCCUUAUGAAGUUGCACAUAAAUGAUGCCUUUGCACACCAUUUUCCAGCCCAACAAUAUUAAAAAUAUAUUCCAGAACCGAAGAUGAAAAACAGUUGAUUCUUUCUAUCAUAAACAAUGAAUAUGCACAUCAUUUUACUUUGUAUUCUAGUAAAAUUUUGUGUUCGUGGAAGUUGUAUAUGUCCCAGAUAGAGAAAUUGAUAUUGACCUUUGCAAAUACUUAUUAAUUAUUGUAUGUGAAAGACUAUUAGUAUUCAGUUUCCAGCUGAUUUGGUCUCUAUCCAAUUUCAAGGUAAUUUGGGCUUGAUAUGUGCUCAACUUUUCAACUAAUCCAUGAUUGUUGGGAAGUCUGAGGAAAAGAAAAUCAAUCAAAUAGUGAAUUUCAGGUCAUGGUUGGUCUUUAUUCUGCAAAAAGAGAUAAACUUUUGAUUUCAAAACAACAAAGGUGGAUGUUUUGAAAAGUAAAGUUUUGUUUUAACUUUUAACUUGAAUAUUGAAUCAGAAAGAAAAUUUUCUUUCUUUGGAAACAAAGACCAACAUUUUUUUUUUGGACUUGACCAUGAAAAUCAUUUCUAUCUGAAAUUACAUAUCUGGAAAGGAAGUGGUGAAUCACUUAUGCUAAAUUUAAUGGUUGCAUUGUACACAAUGAAAAUCCGAUUUGGCUAACCCAGUAGUAGGUGAUGAAUCAACGUGAUUUAAUACUGAUUUCUUUCUUUUUUUGUUUUUCAUUAACGUUUGUCGUCUGUCAUAUGUUUCAGAUAAUUCCUAACCAAAUGAAACAGCUUGAUUUUGGAUCAAUGAAUGAUACUUCAUCACUUGAAGAUAUCGUUGUUGAUCCAGUUGUGCGAGGUCUUAUUACUGACUGGGAUGCCAUGGAAGACCUGUUGCAUCAUGUUCUAUAUACUGGCCUUGGAUGGGAAAUGGGCAACGAAGGGCAGAUACUAUUUACUGAUCCACUUUGUACUCCCAAGGUUAGCUACUAUGCUUCUUUCCGAACACUCUUUAUUAAUUUAAUAUAGACCAGACUGGUAGCAUUAUGCAAUACUUUGCUGAAAAUCCAUGUACAGUGGUUAUUUUCACGGUUUUUAAUAUAUUUUUGUAUAGUUUAAUUUAACAUGUCAAUCGAUUAUAUGUUAUAUUGUAGUCUAGGCUGGUUCCAUUGAGCACACUAAGUUAAACUUUCAGAUAUGAUUUUAUAAUUGUUCUUACCAGUAUUCUUGUUUAAUUAUACUUGAAAAAAAAAUUCUACAGCCUCAAGUUUGUGUUUUGUGAAUCAGUUAUGUUGUUGUUGCACAGUGUUAAAUUUAUCUUUCUGACAUUAUUUCACAAGAGAUAAAAAUCUUGUAGGGAGGAGUAAGGAAGCCUUGUUAUCUCUCUUGGAGAGAAAAAUCCUAGAAAUAGAACUUGCUCUUCAUAAUUCCUUUUUGUCUUAGUGCAGAUAAUAUAUUUUCUCUAAAGAAAAAUUAAAAUAAUUUUUUUUUCUGCCAGUCUGUCAGAGAGCAGUUGGUGCAACUUAUGUUUGAGACAUUUAACACUUCAGGCUUCUAUGCAUCAGAGCAAGCAGUAUUGUCACUUUAUGCUGUUGGACGUAUCUCGGGAUGCACUGUUGAUAUUGGCCAUGGAAAAAUAGGUAUAUACACCUUGCAGAAGGGAACCUUUAUUAGUGGAAUCUUGUGUAUUGAAUACAUAAUUUUUUUGAGCUAUUCUUUCGUUUCUAUACUGCAGGCCAAGUUUUUUGCAAUCUAAUAAGUCUAUAUAUUCAGAAUUCAUUUUAUCCUGUCUAGCAUAAAACCAGUCGUUUGACCACCUUCACUAUACAAACAUUCAUUUUGUUUAAAAUUUAUAAUCUUUUAUUAUAUUACAGAUCUUGUAAUAUUAGAACGAAAUAUAUUAUUGAUAGUUGAUAGCUAUCCCAAGCUAUAACCAUCUACAUAGUGUGCAUUGGGUGACCAUAUGAUGAUAAUGGUCAUGAAAGAUGCACUGGUAGCUGAACUAAAGGGGGCAAGUUUUAGUUAACACAUCUGACCUGUUAAUGGCAUUGACUCAUCUCUGUGCAAACAGUUAGUCAAUAUGGGAUAUGAAAAUGUAAGCAAACUGAUUGCUUUUUCAUUUGUGCCUUUUCUGUAUUUUGGCCAAUUUUUAACAGAUAUUGCACCAGUCGUUGAAGGUGCUGUUCAGCACAUUGCCUCAAGAAGGUUUGAAAUUGGAGGUACUGAUUUGACAAAAUUACUUGCUCAAGAGCUUGGGAAAUCUAAUCCUUUAGUGAAUAUCAAGAUGUCUGAUAUAGAGAAAAUAAAAGAGCAAUAUUCAUGUUGUGCUGAAGAUGAACUUGCUUAUGAAAAGACCAAAAAUUCAUGCCAGAUAGAGCAACAUACCCUUCCUGAUGGACAGGUAUGGUUCAUUGUUCGAAAUUUUGAUUGGGAUAGAUGGAGAAGACACAGAUAUAGGCACAUAGUUGUUUGGCAUGUUUCAGCUGAGGAUACAUUGACUUCAGAAUAUCAUAUUAUGCCUGUAGUUUGCUAUUAUUUAUGAUGUAACUUGCUUGCACUUAUCGCAGUUAUCUGGUUUUGUUUGGUGUCAAUCUAUUAUGUGUUAAUAAUAAAUGUAUAAUGAGUUUAUUGAAAAGUUAUCCUCACUAAAAUCUUCUCCCAUCUUAAAUGUUGAAUACUAAAAAUAAGAUCUAGUAUACAUUCAAACACUUCUAUCCUUUAGAUAUAUUUUUUUAAGGUGGAUUCUUUUUUAUCUCUACCUUACGUUUUCCUUUUUAUUCUUCGAUAUGUAAACGCAAGAUGACAGCAAUCCCAUCCCAAGGCAUUUCGGUCACAGUUAUUGUCAUAGCCAUCUAUUUAUGUUCCCCAAACCUUCUUUCCCACCCCCUUUUGUUUCAUCAUUCUGCUUUUUCCGGUAUAGUUAUUAUGGUUUACAUGUAUAAUAACUUUAUGUGAUACUGGUCAUUGGUUUAGGUCAUUAGGAUUGGAAGAGAAAGAUAUACUGUUGGUGAGGCUUUAUUUCAACCAUCCAUAUUGGGUUUAGAGGCUCAUGGAAUUGUUGAGCAGCUUGUUCGUUGUAUUUCAACAGUAUCGUCUGAUAAUCAUCGGCAGUUGCUGGAAAAUACGGUACUGUGUGGUGGCACCAUUUCUAUGAUUGGUGAGUACAGUAAUUAAUAACUAGUACGAUAUAUUUUCUUUUUCUUUGUUUUUUUCCUUUUUUCUUCUCUUGAAUACUCUUGUUAGACGAAUUUUUGUGUACAUCUCUGUGAGCCCUUUCUUUGGUUGGUUUAUUAUCCUUAUCAUCCUUAUCGUUUUAUUAUCCUUAUCAUCCUUAUCGUUUUUAACAAAAUGGAUUCACCAAGUUUUGGGAAUCCUUGGGUUCAGAGUUCCUUUUAGAUGAUUCUUCUUUGGAAGUAUAUUACAGUGCAAGGCAGCAGAUUUAAGAGCAUGGUGAAAUUUGAAUUUGUCCUUGUUUCAAAAGAAAUAGGAAAUUUUGGUUUUUUUUUUGUUUUUUUGUUUUGGUUUUUUUUUGUUUGUAUUGGUAGCCGACAUUCACCUAUCCCAGACCCUGCGUAAAGCGGGAGCCUUGUGCACCGGGUACGACCUUUUUGUAUUGGUAGCCGACAUUCACCUCUCCCAGACCCUGCGUAAAGCGGGAGCCUUGUGCACUGCGAUGGCAAGUGCCUUCGCCCAUGAGCUAGGUCUCGGGUUCGAGACUUGGGAGCAGCCUCUCCAUAAAUGGGGGUAAGGUUAGCCGACAUUCACCUCUCCCAGACCCUGCGUAAAGCGGGAGCCUUGUGCACUGGGUACGACCUUUUUGUAUUGGUAGCCGACAUUCACCUCUCCCAGACCCUGCGUAAAGCGGGAACCUUGUGCACUGGGUACGAUUUUUUUAUUGGUAGCCGACAUUCACCUCUCCCAGACCCUGCGUAAAGCGGGAGCCUUGUGCACUGGGUACGACCUUUUUUAUUGGUAGUUUGAUUGCUGUUUAUUUCAGGUUUUGAAGAAAGGUUUCAGAAAGAAGCUGGUCUAUGCUCAUCAGCCGUUCGUCCUGCUUUAAUUAAGGUAAUUUAUAGUACCAUUAAAACUGCAGUUGGGUUUUAGCUUCAGACUUCAGGGUGGGGUAGGUUUGUAGUUCAAAUCUUCCACAACAACAACAACAAAGCCUUUUCCCACUAAGUGGGGUCGGCUAAGUUCAAAUCUUCCCAGGCAAAAAAUCUGAAAGUGGUUGGGUUAAAUAGUCAACUUUCUUUCACAUGGUUCCACGAGUCAUUGCAUCGUACCUAUUUGUUUACUGUAAUCAGACUGAACCCUGUAUAGGAAGUGCAAAUUCUUAGUAAUCUUGAUGAAAUAAGCUUCCAAGGUAAAAUUUGAGGUCCAGAUACUCUAAAUGUAUUAUAGUCGGUCUCCUAAUUGUUUCUGAGGCUGUAUACAGUUCACAGCCCAGAGGUUGUGUUGGUUACUUUUAUGGCAUUUCCCUAUCUUAUUUGCUACACGUGAACGAGUGAUCAUAAUGUCUUAUUGGUUCAUCUAUUUUUCAUAAAACUUUGUACUCAUGCACUCGUGGUUAUAUUUUCUUAUUGCUACUGUUAUAUUUGAUAGAUUUUGUGCUUCAGCCUUGAACUUGUAUUUAAAAUGAUUAACAUGUUCAUUGAUUUGGAAGUGAUUCUUGACAUGAAGGCUUUGACUGGAUAUAAAAAAAGAAGUUUAAAUUGAUUGUGUAGGAAAUUAAUUAAUAGAAAUAUUCUUAGUUGAUUUGUUGCCGGUGUAGCUCUACUGGAAAAGUGCUAUUACAACUUGGAUUUGUAAAAAGGAAUUGCAUUGAUCUGGUGUACAGUGAGCUGAAUAUUUGGAUACGUUUGUUAUUGCACGGUCUUGUAAUUAUAUGCUUGAAAUGUCUAUACAGCCGUAGUGAACUAUCGCAUAAAGGAUCGCUUAAUUUUUCUUAAUUUGUUCACCGCACUAAUGUUAAUUGUAUUAAAGUCAACAAGGUAAGCAAUCACUGAUUCACUUUCUUAGCCGGACUGAAAGUUAUGUGAGCAAGAUACUUUGAUUUACAUAACUUUUCCGCAACACUAUUUUUUGUGUAGUAACUGGACCGCCGGUUUCUUCUUCUGAUUGUUUUUUUUGGGUGCGUGUUCAAUGCAGCCUCCAGAGUAUAUGCCAGAGAAUUUAUCAAUGUAUUCAGCGUGGGUGGGAGGUGCCAUACUUGCCAAAGUCGUGUUCCCACAAAACCAACAUAUAACAAAAGCAGAUUACGAUGAAACUGGACCUUCUGUUGUUCAUCGGAAAUGUUUUUGAGUAUCUCUCGUCCGUAAAAGUUCUUGGAACUCUUGUUUAGUUUGAUUAGCAUACUUGUAUUAUAGUUGUUGGUAACGCUAACACAAGAUUGUAGUCGAUUAGUGUUUGAUUUUUAGUAUUUCAACGGACGAAUCCAUUAACACAUCCAAGCGUUUUGGAAAUCAAAUUUAGAGAUCUAGUUAAGGAUAUGUUUAGUAAGGGAGCUUCUGUUUUACAUUCAACUUCAUCCUAUUCCUCAUUUCAUCUUGAUGCAUCGAUGUAAACUCUCGAAUAAUGGAUGGCGAAGACGUCGUUUAGGGAUGCAAACCUUUUCUUCCGGGAUUUACAUGUCAUUUUGCAAUUUUUCAAGAUUCUGGGUUCGCGACUUGGUCUGCAAAUCGGCAUAGAACUAAUAUAGAUAUUUCGAUUGACCAAAAAAAAGUAUAGAUAUUUCUAGUGUGGCCAGCCGAACAAGUGACUGCUCAGUCAGCAGUGACCCACUGAAUGGCAAGAUAACUGUUUGGCGCCCCAAGGCCGAACACUCUUUGCAACGAGAUCUCUUGUUCAAACUCCUAUUAUUUUUACGUUACAUAAUCCUCUCUCUCUCUCUCUAUAUAUAUAAGGAACCCAAAAAUGGACGAGUAAAAUGUCUGGUGACUAGCAAUGGGCGUGGCAGUUUCCUGUAGCCUUUGCUUGUUGCUGCACCGGAAUUAACCGACGGACACGAGGGGAAAGAGGGAAGCCUACAAUAUUUUGGUUUCGAUUCUGAACUGUAUACGGUGAAAGUUCAGGAACCAAUUUUAUAGUUUACGCGUUAAACUAAUUAAGAGCAUGUUGGAGAAACAGUUCCGAUACGGUUUAAACUGACAUUCUCACACGAAGCUUGGGCAGUUUCAUCGGCUAGAGGUUUUAGGUUUACGUCUUUCAACAAAAAUNNN
rnacentral:lncRNA from 1 species